rnacentral:lncRNA from 1 species
ACUGUUUGGCGUAGGUUUAAUUAUGUUAGUGGGCCUUUAGAAGGCCCAAGUUUAAGAUUAAGUCUAGGGUUUAAUUAAUUUUGAUCCAUAAGGGAAAAGGGGGUUCUGAUUAACAUGGGUCUUAAAUAUUAUUUGGGUAAAAUAAGACAUAAGAAAUCAAGUGGCAAAGUGGCAUGUGGCGCCACUAGGAAGGUUAUAAAAGUGGCAUGUAGAAGUGUAGGAAGAGCCCAAGUUCGAGUCGCAAGACAAGCAAAUAAGGUGUUUAUUUUUGUGCACAAAAAGGGGAGGUGAUGGAACUCAAGGGGGAACUAUGUUAAGGAGAGUUUAAGAUGAUAAGGGGAUUGAGUAAGGAUAAAGAUAAGGGAGGAAAUCUAGGAGCUGAUCAAGGAGCAAGAGGUGGCCGGCCAAGGGAUUUUAGCAUGGGAAAUUCGGCUAGGGUAAUGCUUGUAUUAAUUCGGCACAAGGGGGUAAGUGAGCCGUUUUCUGAUCACUCUUCCUCUCCUUUUAUUUUUCUUUUUUCUCUCCAUUUGUUUUCUUUUCUUCUUCUUUUCCCCAUAGCUGAAUCCUUCAGCCAUCUUACUCUAUACCACCUUCCUUCCAUUAUUUUUAAGACUGUAGCCGAUUGCCUCAAAUCCCGAAAUCCCAAAAACUUGAUUCCUCUUAUACCAAUUUCCCUAGCCAAUUCUCUUAUUUUUUUCUCAUCAUCUUUGGCCAAUUCUCUCAUCCUCUAAACCCCAAGUUUCUGUCGACAAUACCACAGUAAAACCCUCAUAUUUUAGCUUUCUCUACACUAUUGCAAAAAAGCCGAAAAUCCCACACUAUCCUAAGGACAUAGCCGAAUACUGAGAUCACUGAAGGCUUGACUUUUGUUAUCGUUUGAGGGGUUAAAGCUGUAACAGAAUCAAGUAGGAACUAAGGGGGGACAUUGACUGAAAGAAUCGGUGGUAAGGCUUCCCAACUUAGUCUAUCUUUCGUAUUUUAAGAAAGGGAGGUUGUCAUUUUUGGACUUGUAUCCCUAAGGGGUUGUGGUAAUAGUAUUAAUUUGGUAAUAGUAUGAUUAAGAGGCUGUUGAUCAAGGGCUUGGACAAGUGGAGCGAACGGAUCUGGAUCGAGACAUUGCUUUCGGCAAAGGUAGGAACGCUAAGGCCUAAGGAGUUGUUGGUCGAAUAUGGUAAGGAGUUAAUAUGUAGUUCGUUUCGGUAGUUAGAUUAACGUGAUAGUAAUAUAUUUUGUAGGCAGUUCGUGCGUGGAUCUCGUCAGUGAAUCGUCAUAAAACAGGUGUGUAACUGACACCCUCUCAUAGACUAGAUCGGCAAAAGCUGAAAAGCUGAAAUGCCGAAAAGCCGGUAUUUUGUGGGCUGGCGAGUGUACGAAUGGUCGUAAGAAAGACUGAUUAGCGUAUUUGGUAAAUUCAAGUGUUAAGACUGUAGAAUGCGAUAUUUUGUGCAUUAUGACGUUUUGGGCUGGGCCAAUGGGCCAACAGGCCCACUUUGGUUAAAAGACGAGGUAAGUGCUUCCGAAUACUUGGUAACGCUAAAACGGGCAUGAAACCCUAGCCAUAGGUUAUAAUUACUGAAAUACCCUUAUGCAUGCAAAAUUACCAUUAUACCCCUAGAUGUAAAUUGACCAUUAUACCCUUAGGGUUAUUUUGACUAAAAAGCAUGAUGACCUGAUUCUGUAUGAUGUAUGCCAUGAUUGUGAAUCUGUGCACGGGGACAUGGGUUAUAUUAUGGAGGAAACAUCCUGGUGGCUAUGCCACAAAUUAUCUGAUCUGGUGGCUCUGCCACAUAUAUAUCUAUUCUGGUGGCUCUGCCACGAUUAUCUGUAUCUGGUGACUCUGUCACAUUAUCUGUUCUGGCAGCCAUGCUGCAUAUUUCUGAGGCGUGUAGCGGUUGGGUGGGUCGAGUAGUCUCCCCACAUGGUGAAAGGUUGGUAAGGGGGUGUAUGUGGUUGGUUAUGGGUUGGGUUCUGCAUAUCCAUGAAAUAUCCGAUCUGAUUUAUUAUGGGCCUAUGGGCUUAACUGUUCUGGGCUAAGGCCAAUUUAUUCUGCUUCUGUGGUUUGAGCUGAUAUGGGCUAUGGUUGGGUUUAUUUUACACACUGAGUUUCCCCAAACUCAUCCCCUAUCUUCAUCCAUGCAGGUAACCCCCAACCAUAGUGGGCUUGGAGCUGCGAGGGAUUCGGAGUGGCCAUUCGUUCUGCAAUAUGGUUUCCUUCUGGUGAAUUGGACUUCAUUUUUCAUUUACUUUGAUGAUUUGGAUUUUAUUAUGUAAUAAGGCCGCUCUAUUUUUUUUUGUGGGUUUGGUUUAUAUUUUAUUAUGAUGAACUUAAAUUAUAUUAACUAUCAAAAUGGGCUAGAUCUAGGGUUCGUUUUCUAAAACAUAAAUUAAUUUCAAAGUAACACGAUUACAAACAAGGCUUCUACUAUGGUAACGUUUUCCAAAUUUAAAUAUGUUUUAUUCUAAAAUGGACAUAAAUACAAUGGUAACCUAAAAAUAUACGCGCUAUUAGAGUGUGGCAACGGCAGUGUGCAUGUCUAGGAUUGGAUCCGAAAGAGCUUGGUACUUAAGCAGUCCGAUGGACUCACAUUCUCUUUUCUGGUUUCCUACCAGGUGCACAGCUUCCAUUCACUUUAACCCUUAAUGAAUUAAUCCUUUGAACAUCAAGUACGAUUUUCUAGACAUAGGAAUGUUAAAAGUGUUGAUGUGGCACGUCGGUUCCGGUCAUAAAGUCUAGGCCAGGUUUGGGGUGUUACAUUUCCCAAAUAAUGAAAAGGAUUUAGUUUUUAUAUAAAUUGAUCCUUUUUUAGUAGAGAAAAUGUGGAGCGUACAUCAUUGACAUUUUUGGAGUUUCAUUCUCGAUCUUGAUAAAAACAAGUAAUUUAAAGGAAGAAGAAUAAGGAAAUCAAGUUAAUACUUUGAAUCAUUACAUCAUUUUUGACGUGGAUUUCGAGACUGCCUCUCCUCUAUGGAAACGAAAGUGGUCAUAACUAUUAGAUUAGCAUCGAAGGAGUGAAAAUGGAAAAUGAAUCAAAUGAGUCCAUAGGCAAGGAACUAUUACAAAUUACAGUGCACGUCCUUUGGAGGAUAUUUCGUGGCACGAUAUGUGUCUUUUCAAAACUUCGAGAAGUCAAGGCAUUUUUCCAUCAAAGGCAAUGUGAAUUUAAAUUGUAUAAAGACUUUCAAGGAAUCGAGGUUGUUUCAAUUUCACACCACGCUAGAACAUUCCAAGUCCACAUUAUUGACAUGAACUUAAUGUUUAUAAUAAUGAUAUUUGUGUCAAUUUAAACAAUGUGAAACAAUAUGUAGUGCUCGAUUUGAGAUGGUUAUCGAGUUCCACUGCUAUAAACUUAAAAAUAAUGGCAUGUAUAAAAUCAUUGUGUAUUAAGUAAUGGCUUCUAUAGAACCAUUUAAUUUCCGUACAACUAAAUAUAAUUUAAGUAGGCUUUAAAUUUAAUGACACAUUUUAAUGAAGCUUUCGGAACAAUAUCAAAACUAAAGACAAAAGAACAAUUUUGGCCCUUUACGUCUGGUAACCGUUUUUUUGCUUUAGCAAUCCUAUAUCCUUAAGCAGACGGAGAUGGUGAAUAGAUCAAUGCAACGCAAUUAUUCCAUGUCUGAAUCCUCUUAACUAUAAUUGUCGCUGGGUUUAGGUCUUUGAAUACAGGAUUUUCAAGAGUCAUCUUUACUAAUGCUGAGUGGCAAACUUUUCCCAACACAACAAUUUCGCUGCAACACUUGUUAGAAAUACUCCCUGUAUUAAAAUACUCAUGAAAGCUUCUAGAACACAGGGCAAACCCAUUUUCGUUUCACAAUUAUUUCCCUUUAUAAUCUAGUCGUUCACCUACGUAGCCAUUACUACCCCACAAGUUAAAAAUAAAACCACUAGUACGGAAUAAACAUUAAGGCUUCCCAUGCUGUGUGAAUCUGAUGUUACUAGUUAAACUUGGUUCCUAAAAUUAAUUUCGAACGAGAUUUGCAGAGGAAAAAAAUGGCAUUUAUAGGAAGUGUUAUAACCACAUUAGACUAAAAUACGUUACAAUAAAAUAAAACAUUGAAUAUUUCAAUUUAAUUAGAACAUUCAAUAUUUCAGUUUAAUAAGCAUUAAUUUUUAUUACUACAAAUCAAAAUAUUAAUUCAAAAACACACAUUUAUACUUCCCUUUAUAAUUCUUAAAUGGCAUUAAACGGAUCACUUAAAUAAGGUUCAAUAAAGAUGAUUAUGUCCUACAUGUGUUUUUGCCUUGAAACUAGGAUUGAACUAUUUCGUCCACUCUAAGAAAACACCUGGACGGUAAUAUGGAGAAAAUAACAUAUGGAAAAAGCAAUAUGGGAUAUAGUACAUGUGCAUGACAGGCACACAUAUUCGUUAUGCAUGCCAUCCUAUUUUUCUAAUUUUUUGAAGUUGUGUAUGCACAUGUUAUGUUGAUCGUUAAAAAUUCACGUGCAUCUCAAAAUUGAAUAAGCUAUACCAGAUUGCCCUAACAGUGAUAUGUAUGUGCCACAAUGUAGAAAUAAUUAUGCAAAGCGUAAAAUCUUAUAACCUUGUUGUUGUUAAAAAGUUUUUAUCACACUUAUCAUAUUUGUAAAAUGUAAAAUGGAAACUAAAUGAUUGACAUUUAAAAUUAAUUCAUCAACAAUAUUUCACGUUCUGAUAUUAAGUCGAUGUAUGUCUUUAUCGUGGGACUCCAAUUCGGUUAUUGUCUUCUUCGUUCUACGUUAAAUUUUUAGGUGUAAGCGUUCUGGCCCAAUUUUAGUGAAAUAUGAAUGAAAGCUUUUAGUGGAAUAAGUAACAGAGCUUGGAAAAUGAAAAAUUCUAUUAGAGAGUGAAAUUGGAAACAACAAAUGACGUUUCAUUUUUAUAACUCUCGUAGGAAUUUCCCGAAUAAUGAAUAGGAUUUAGUUUUUAUAUAAAUUGAUCCUUUUUUAAUAGGGAAAAUGUGGGGCAUACGUCGCCGACAUAUUUGUAGUUUCAUUCUCGAUAUUGAUAAUUUAAAGGAAGAAGAAUAAGGAAAUCAAGUUAAGACUUUGAAUCGUUACAUCAUUUUUGACGUGGAUUUCGAGAUUGCCUCUCCUCUACAGUAACGAAAGUGGUCAUAACUGUUAGAUUAGUAUCGAAGGACCGAAAAUGGAAAAUGAAUCAAAUGAGUCCAUAGGCAAGGAACUAUUACAAAUUACAGUGCACGUACUUUGGAGGAUAUUUCGUGGCACGAUAUGUGUCUUUCAAAACUUCGAGAAGUCAAGGCAUUUUUCCAUCAAAGGCAAUGUGAAUUUAACUUGUAUAAAGGCUUUCAAGGAAUCGAGGUUGUUUCAAUUUCACACCACGUUAGAACAUUCCAAUUCCACAUUAUUGACAUGAACUUAAUGUUUAUAAUAAUGAUAUUGGUGUCAGUUUAAACAAUAUGAAACAAUAUGUAGUGCUCGACUUGAGAUGAUUAUCGUGUUCCGCUGCUAUAAAAUUAAAAAUAAUGGCAUGUAUAGAAUCAUUGUGUAUUAUGCAAUGGCUUCUGUAGAACCAUUUAAUUUCUGUACAACUAAAUAUAAUAUAACUAGGCUUUAAAUUUAAUGACACAUUUUAAUGAAGCUUUUGAAACAAUAUCAAAAAUAAAGACAAAAGAACAAUUUUGGCCCUUUACGUUUGGUAACCGUUUUGUAGCUUUAGCAAUCCUAUAUCCUUAAGCAGACGGAGAUGGUGACUCGAUAAAUGCAAGGAAAUUAUUCCAUGUCUGAAUGCUCUUAGCUAUAAUUGUCGCUGGGUUUAGGUAUUUGAAUACAGGAUUUUCAAGAGUCCUCUUUACUAAUGCUGAGUGGCAAACUUUUCCCAACACAACAAGUUCGCCGCAACACUUGUUAGAAAUACUCCCUAUAUUGAAAAUACUCAUGAAAGCUUCUAGAACACAGGGCAAACCCAUUUGCUUCUCCUUAAUAAUCUGGUCGUUCUCCUUCGUAGCCAUUACUACCCCACAAGUUAAAAAUAAAACCACUAGUACGGAAUAAACAUUAAGGCUUUCCAUGUUGUGCGAAUCUGAUGUUACUAGUUAAACUUGGUUCCUAAAAUUAAUUUCGAACGAGAUUUACAGGGGAAAAAACUGGCAUUUAUAGGAAGUGUUAUAACCACAUUAGACUAGAAUACAUUACAAUAAAAGAAAACAUUCAAUAUUUCAAUUUAAUUCUAACAUUCAAUAUUUUAGUUUAAUUAGCAUUAAUUUUUAUUACUACAAAUCUAAAUAUUAAUUCAAAGACACAUAUUUACACUUUCCUUUAUAAUUCUUAAAUGGCCUUAAACGGAUCACUUAAAUAAGAUUCAAUAAAGAUUAUUAUGUCGUACAUGUGUUUUUCUGCGUUGAAACUAGGAUUGAACUAUUACGUCUGUUAGAAUUAAGUGACCCAAAUUCUUAUUUAAAUAAAAUACGAUGGAAAAUAAAAUAAAAGUAAAAUCCAUAUAGAACUAGACUUCUUUUAUUUUAUUUUAGAAUAAGGUUUUUUAAACCUUAUUAAACUUCAUCUAUUUUAUAUUGAUUAGGAUAAGGUGUUUCAAUCCUACUAGAAUAUGGCUUUACAAGCCUAUAAAUAGACAUAGUCUAUUCCUCUUGUAUUGAUUCAAAUUUUUCGACAUAGUGAAUUUUCUUCUCCUUUGCCCGUGGUUUUUUCCCGAAAGGGUUUCCACGUAAAAUUUGUGUGUUCUUUAUUUUUUUUCUCAAAUUGGUAUCCGAGCUUCCGGGUUAUUCAUCUCGAUCACGGUAAUGGCGUCUUUGAAGUAUGAAAUUCUGCUGUUGGAUCGCAACACCAAAUUUGCAUUGUGGCAAAUUAAGAUGCAAGUAGUUCUUGCACAAAUGGAUCUGGAGGAUGCCCUGCUAGGGAUAGAUAAGAUGCCUUUGACAUUAACAGAUGAAGAGAAGAAGCGUAAGGAUCGAAAGGAUCGAAAGGUGUUAACACAAUUACUUCUGCUUUUGUCCAACGAAAUUUUGCAGGAUGUGAUGAAAGAGAAGACUGUCGCUGCAUUAUGGAAGAGGCUAGAACAAAUAUGUAUGUCGAAAACUCUAACAAGCAAGUUGCAUAUGAAGCAGUGUCUUUAUCUCAUCGUUUGGAGGAAGGUGCGUCUGUACACAAACACUUAACAGUGUUUAAAGAAAUUCUCUCAAACUUGGAGGCCAUGGAGGUUCAGUAUGAUAAGGAAGAUCUAGGGUUGAUUCUAAUUUGUUCGUUGCCCCCGUCUUAUUCAACCUUUAGAGACGAUUUUUUAUAGCUGCGAGUCUCUCACAGUUGAUGAGGUUUAUGAUUCUUUAACCUCGUAUGAUAAAAUGAAGCAUCUUGUGGUUAAACCCAACUCUCAGGGAGAAGGUCUCAUUGUUCGUUGGAGACAAGAUCGGAAUGCUGAUGAUAAUCGUGGUAGGCCACAGGAACGGAAUCCUCAUGGUAAAUCUAAAGGUAGAUCGAAGUCUUCAAAUAGAGGUAAAACUUGUAACUUCUGCAAGAAGAAAGGGCACAUUAAAUCUGAGUGCUAUAAGCUACAAAAUAAGAUUAAAAGGGAGGCUGCGAAUCAAAAGGGAAAACAACUAGAAAAUUUCGGUGAAGAUGAUGUUGUAGAAGAUUACAGUGAUGGUGAACUUCUAGUUGCUUCUAUCAAUGAUUCUAAAGUAAGCGAGGAAUGGAUACUUGAUUCAGGCUGCACCUUCCACAUGAGUCCCAAUCGGGAUUGGUUUAUAACUUAUGAAACAGUGUCUGAAGGUGUUGUUUUGAUGGGAAAUAAUGUUUCGUGUAAAAUCGCAGGUGUUGGAACAGUUAAAGUUAAGAUGUUUGAUGGAGUUGUCAAAACACUUAGUGUGGUACGACAUGUUCCAGAAUUGAAGGGUACAGAUAUACAGCUGAAAGUGGGAUUUUAAAGAUUUCCAAAGGUUCCCUUGUUGUGAUGAAAGGGCAAAGAAAAACUUCCAAGUUAUAUGUUUUGCAGGGUUCUAGUGUUACUGAUGAUGCAGCUGUCGCUUCCUCUUCCUUGUCAAAUGAUGAUAUUACUAAACUUUGGCAUAUGUGCCUAGGGAAUAUGAGUGAGAAUGGCAUGGUAGAAUUGAGUAAAAGAGGACUUUUUGAUGGGCAAGGAAUUUGUAAACUAAAUUUCUGUGAGCACUGUGUUUUUGGGAAGCAAAAGAGAGUUCGAUUCACUAGAGGAAUCCAUAACACGAAGGGAAUAUUGGAGUAUAUUCAUUCUGAUCUGUGGGGGCCAUCUAGAGUGCCUUCGAGAGGUGGAGCUAAUUAUAUGCUAACCUUUAUUGAUGAUUUUUCCAGAAAAGUUUGAACGUUCUUCCUGAAGAAGAAAAGCGAUGUGUUUUUCGCAUUUAAGUUUUGGAAAAUUAUGAUUGAAAAAACAGACAGGAAAAUAGAUAAAAUACCUCUGCAUAGAAAAUGGCUUAGAGUUCUGUUCUGAUGAGUUUAAUAGAUUGUGCAAGUCAGAAGGGAUCAUGAGACACUUGACAAUUUAUCAUACUCCACAACAAAACAGCGUUGUAGAACGAAUGAACAGAACGAUCAUGGAGAAGGUUCGAUGUAUGUUGUCAAAUGCCAACUUAUCGAACUCAUUUUGGGCAGAAGCAGCCUCUACUGCAUGUUUUUUAAUCAACCGAUCUCCAUCUGUUGCCAUUGAGAAAAAGACUCCACAAGAGGUAUGGUCUGGUAAUCCUACUAAUUAUUCUAAUUUAAAGAUUUUUGGGUGUCCUGCGUAUGCUCAUGUUGAUAAUGGAAAAUUGGAACCGAGAUCCAUUAAAUGCUUUUUUCUUGGUUAUAAAGCUGGUGUAAAAGGGUAUAAGUUAUAGCGUCCUGAAAAUAGAAAAGUUGUGAUUAGCAAAGAUGUUGUUUUUGAUUGAACUGCUAUGCUACCUAACUUAUCUCUUAAAGACUCUUCCAAUAAAGAAAAUCAAAAACAGGUGGAGCAUCAGAUUAAUACAGAGUCAACUCCUCAAGCUAGAACAAAAGUUGAGAAUAGAGUUGCUUCUUCACCACAAUACUCUAUCGCCAAAAAUAGAACUAGAAGAGAAAUUAAACCUCCAAAGAAGUAUGCCGAGGCUGAUCUAGUUUCUUAUGCUAUAAAUGUGGCUGAAGAUAUAGAUGCGAAUCAAGAGCCAUCUAAUUAUUUUGAGGCGGUUAGCUGUGAAGACUUAGAAAAGUGGAUGUUUGCUAUGCAAGAAGAGAUGGAAUCACUCUACAAAAACAGAACAUGGGAUCUUGCGAAACUUCCUAAAGGUAAAAAGGUUGUUCGUUGUAAAUGGGUGUUUAAAAAGAAAGAAGGGACUCCAGGAGUUGAAGAACCCAAAUAUAAAGCAAGGCUUGUUGCAAAGGGUUACAGUCAAAUUCCAGGAGUGGACUUCACAGAUGUGUUCUCUCCAGUUGUUAAGCAUAGUUUGAUUCGAGCUUUGCUUGGUAUUGUGGCCAUGCAAGAUUUUGGAGCUUGGGCAGUUAGAUGUAAAAACUGCAUUUCUGCAUGGAGAACUUGAGGAGGAUAUUUACAUGCAACAACCAGAGGGUUUUAUAGUCUCAGAAAAAGAAGACUAUGUUUGCUUGCUGAAAAAGUCCCUUUACGGUUUGAAACAGUCACCAAGACAGUGGUACAAGAGGUUUGAUUCCUUUAUGACUUCUCAUGAUUUCAAAAGAAGUAGUUUUGACAGUUGUGUUUACUUUAAGAAAAAUAGUGAUGGUUCUUUUGUGUAUCUACUUCUUUAUGUUGAUGACAUGUUGAUAGCAGCAAAAGAUAAAUGAGAGAUAAGAAAUGUUAAAACCCAACUAAGUAAAGAAUUUGAGAUGAAAGAUUUAGGACCAACAAAGAAGAUACUUGGAAUGGAGAUUCUCAGAGAUAGAAAAAUAAGUAAAUUGUACCUAAGUCAGAAGGGGUACAUUGAGAAAGUUCUUUGCAGGUUCAAUAUGCAGAGUGCUAAGCCUGUUAGUACUCCUUUAGCAGCCCAUUUCAGACUUUCAUCAGUUUUGUCUCCACAAUCAGAUGAUGAGAUUGAGUACAUGUCACAUGUUCGAUACUCUAGUGCAGUGGGAUCUAUCAUGUAUGCUAUGGUUUGUUCAUGUCUAGAUUUAUCAUAUGCAGUCAGUGCAGUUAGCAGAUACAUGGAGAAUCCCGGUAAAGAACACUAGAAAGCAGUUCAGUGGAUUCUAAGAUACUUACGAGGUACUACUGAUGUUUGCUUACAGUUUGGAAGAACUAAAGAUGGGGUCAUAGGGUAUGUUGAUGCUGAUUUUGCUAGAGACCUUGAUAAAAGAAGAUCUCUCACAGGUUAUGUCUUUACAAUCAGAGGUUGUGCAAUCAGUUGGAAAGCCACUUUGCAGUCUACAGUUGCUUUGUCUACCACUGAAGCUGAGUACAUGGCGAUUACUGAGGUUUGUAAAGAAGCUAUUUGGUUGAAGGGACUCUUUAGUGAACUCAAUGAAGACUUUCAAAUCAGCACAGUAUUUUGUGACAGUCAGAGUGCCAUCUUUCUUACAAAAGAUCAAAUGUUUCAUGAGAGAACAAAACACAUUGAUGUUCGGUAUCAUUUUGUUCGUGAUAUUAUUGCUCAAGGUGAUAUUGUUGUGAGCAAAAUUAGUACUCAUGAAAAUCCUGCAGAUAUGAUGACUAAGUCACUUCCUAUAACCAAGUUUGAGCAUUGCUUAGACUUGGUUGGUGUACAUUGUUGAAGUUAAACCCUUAAGGGGUUUUAUGGAAGAGGUGGAGAACUUGUUUAUAGAAAGUUCGCGAUGAAGAACUUGUUCAUUGAGAAUUUGUUUCAAGGUGGAGAUUGUUAGAAUUAAGUGACCCAAAUUCUUAUUUAAAUAAAAUACUAUGGAAAAUAAAAAAAAGUAAAAUCCAUAUAGAACUAGACUUCUUUUAUUUUAUUUUAGAAUAAGGUUUUUUAAACCUUAUUAAACUUCAUCUAUUUUAUAUUGAUUAGGAUAAGGUGUUUCAAUCCUACUAGAAUAUGGCUUUACAAGCCUAUAAAUAGACAUAGUCUAUUCCUCUUGUAUUGAUUCAAAAUUUUUGACAUAGUGAAUUUUCUUCUCCUCUACCCGUGGUUUUUUCCCGAAAGGGUUUCCACGUAAAAUUUAUGUGUUCUUUCUAUUAUAUUUUAUAUUUUUAUUUUAUUUUAGUUUUCUCAACUUCCACUCCAAACAAACACCUAGACGGUAACAUGGAGAAAAAACAUAUGGAAAAAGCAAUAUGGGAGAUAGUACACAUGCAUGACAGGCACACAUAUUCGUUAUGCGUGCCAUCCUAUUUUUCUAAUUUUUUGAAGUUGUGUAUGCACAUGUUAUGUUGAUGGUUAAAAAUUCACGUGCAUCUCAAAAUUGAAUGAGCUAUACCAGAUUCCUCUAACAGUGAUAUGUAUGUGCCAGAAUAUAGAAAUAAUUAUGCAAAGUGUAAAAUCUUAUAACCUUGUUGUUGUUAAAAAAAUUUAUCACACUUAUCAUAUUUCUAAAAUGGAAAAUGGAAACUAAAUGAUUGACAUUCAAAAUUAAUUCAUCAACAAUAUUUCAUGUUAUGAUAUUAAGUCGAAUUAUGUCUUUAUCGUGGGACUCCAAUUCGGUUAUUGUCUUCUUCGUUCCACGUUAAAUUUUUAGGUGUAAGUGUUCCGGCCCAAUUUUACUGAAAUAUGAAUGAAAGCUUUUAGCGGAAUAAGUAACAGAGCUUGGAAAAUGAAAAAUUCUAUUAGAGAGUGAAAUUGGAAACAACAAAUGACGUUUCAUUUUUAUAACUCUCGUAGGUAUUUCCCAAAUAAUGAAAAGGAUUUAGUUUUUAUAUAAAUUGAUCCUUUUUUAGUAGGGAAAAUGUGGGGCGUACGUCGUUGACAUUUUUGGAGUUUAAUUCUCGAUCUUGAUUAAAACAAGUAAUUUAAAGGAAGAAGAAUAAGGAAAUCAAGUUAAGACUUUGAAUCGUUACAACAUUUUCGACAUGGAUUUCGAGAUUGCCUCUCCUCCACGGAAACAAAAGUGGUCAUAACUAUUAGAUUAGUAUCGAAGGAGUGAAAAUGGAAAAUCAAACAAAUGAGUCCAUAGGCAAGGAACUAUUACAAAUUAUAGUGCACGUACUUUGGAGGAUAUUUCAUGGUACGAUAUGUGUCUUUUCAAAACUUCGAGAAGUCAAGGCAUUUUCCAUCAAAGGCAAUGUGAAUUUAAAUUGUAUAAAGACUUUCAAGGAAUCGAGGUUGUUUCAAUUUCACACCACGCUAUAACAUUCCAAGUCCACAUUAUUGACAUGAACUUAAUGUUUAUAAUAAUGAUAUUUGUGUCAAUUUAAACAAUGUGAAACAAUAUAUAGUGCUCGAUUUGAGAUGGUUAUCCAGUUCCACUGCUAUAAAAUUAAAAAUACUGGCAUGUAUAAAAUCAUUGUGUAUUAAGUAAUGGCUUCUAUAGAACCAUUUAAUUUUCGUACAACUAAAUAUAAUUUUACAAGGCUUCAAAUUUAAUGACACAUUUUAAUGAAGCUUUCGGAACAAUAUCAAAAAUAAAGACAAGAGAACAAUUUUGGCCCUUUACCUCUGGUAACUGUUUUUUAGCUUUAGCAAUCCUAUAUCCUUAAGCAGACGGAGAUGGUGAAUCAAUCAAUGCAAGGCAAUUAUUCCAUCUCUGAAUGCUCUUAGCUAUAAUUGUCGCUGGGUCUAGGUCUUUGAAUAUAGGAUUUUCAAGAGUCCUCUUUACUAAUGCUGAGUGGCAAACUUUUCCCAACACAACAAGUUCGCCGCAACACUUGUUAGAAAUACUCCCUGUAUUGAAAAUACUCAUGAAAGCUUCUAGAACACAAGGCAAACCCAUUUUAGUUUCACAAUUAUUUUCCUUAAUAAUCUGGUAGUUCUCCUUCGUAGCCAUUACUGCCCCACAAGUUAAAAAUAAAACCACUAGUACGGAAUAGACAUUAAGGCUUGCCAUGUUGUGCGAAUCUGAUGUUACUAGUUAAACUUGGUUCGUAGAAUUAAUUUCGAACGAGAUUUGCAGGGGAAAAACUGGCAUUUAUAGGAAGUGUUAUAACCACAUUAAACUAGAAUACGUUACAAUAAAGAAAACAUUCAAUAUUUCAAUUUAAUUCUAACAUUCAAUAUUUCAGUUUAAUUAGCAUUAAUUUUCAUUACUACAAAUCUAAAUAUUAAUUCAAAGACACACAUUUAUACUUCCCUUUAUAAUUCUUAAAUGGCAUUAAACGGAUCACUUAAAUAAGGUUCAAUAAAGAUGAUUAUGUCGUACAUGUGUUUCUGCGUUGAAACUAGGAUUGAACUAUCACGUCCACUCCAAACAAACACCUGGACGGUAAUAUGGAGAAAAAAAACUUAUGGAAAAAGCAAUAUGGGACAUAGUACACUUACAUGACAGGCAUACAUACUCGUUAUGCGUGCUAUCCUAUUUUUCUAUUUUUUUGAAGUUGUGUAUGCGCAUGUUAUGUUGAUGAUUAAAAAUUCACGUGCAUCUCAAAAUUGAAUGAGCUAUACCAGAUUCCCCUAACAGUGAUAUGUAGGUGCCACAAUGUAGAAAUAAUUAUGUAAAGCAUAAAAUCUUAUAACUUUGUUGUUGUUAAAAAGUUUUCAUCACACUUAUCAUAUUUUUAAAAUGUAAAAUGGAAACUAAAUGAUUAACAUUCAAAAUUAAUUCAUCAACAAUAUUUCACGUUCUGAUAUUAAGUCAAUGUAUGUCUUUCUCGUGGGACUCCAAUUCAGUUAUUGGAUUCUUCGUUCUACGUUAAAUUUUUAGGUGUAAGCGUUCUGGCCCAAUUUUACUGAAAUAUGAAUUAAAGCUUUUAGUGGAAUAAGUAACAGAGCUUGGAAAAUGAAAAAUUAUAUUAGAGAGUGAAAUUGGAAACAACAAAUGAUGUUUCAUUUUUAUAACUCUCGUAGGUGUUUCCCAAAUAAUGAAUAGGAUUUAGUUUUUAUAUAAAUUGAUCCUUUUUUAGUAGGGAAAAUGUAGGGCGUACGUUGCCGACAUAUUUGGAGUUUCAUUCUCGAUCUUGAUAAAAACAAGUAAUUUAAAGGAAGAUGAAUAAGGAAAUCAAGUUAGGACUUUGAAUCGUUACAUCAUUUUCGACUUGGAUUUCGAGAUUGCCUGUCCUCUGCGGAAACGAAAGUGGUCAUAACUAUUAGAUUAGUAUCGAAGGAGAAAAAUGGAAAAUAAAACAAAUGAGUCGAUAGGAAAGGAACUGUUGCAAAUUAUAGUGCACGACCUUUCGAGGAUAUUUCGUGGCAGGAUAUGUGUCUUUUCAAAACUUCGAUAAGUCAAGGCAUUUUUCCAUCAAAGGCAAUGUGAAUUUAAAUUCUAUAAAGGCUUUCAAGGAAUCCAGGUUGUUUCAAUUUCACACCACGCUAGAACAUUCCAAUUCGUCAUUAUUCACAUGAACUUAAUGUUUAUAAUAAUGGUAUUUGUGUCAAUUUAAACAAUGUGAAACAAUAUGUAGUGCUCGAUUUAAGAUGGUUAUCAUGUUUCGGUGCUAUAAAAUUAAAAAUAAUGGCAUGUAUAAAAUCAUUGUGUAUUAGGUAAUGGCUUCUAUAGAACCAUUUAAUUUCCGUACAACUAAAUAUAAUUUGAGUAGGCUUUAAAUUUAAUGACACAUUUUAAUGAAGCUUUCGGAACAAUAUCAAAAAUACAUACAAUAGAACAAUUUUGGCCCUUUACAUCUGGUAACCAUUUUUUAGCUUUAGCAAUCCCAUAUCCUUAAGUAGACGGAGAUGGUGAAUCAAUCAAUGCAAGGAAAUUAUUCCAUGUCUGAAUGCUCUUAGCUAUAAUUGUCGCUGGGUUUAGGUCUUUGAAUACAGGAUUUUCAAGAGUCCUCUUUACUAAUGAUGAGUGGCAAACUUUUCCCAACACAACAAGUUCGCCGCAACACUUAUUAGAAAUACUCCCUGUAUUGAAAAUACUCGUGAAAGCUUCUAGAACACAAGGCAAACCCAUUUUAGUUUCACAAUUAUUUUCCUUAAUAAUCUGGUAGUUCUCCUUCGUAGCCAUUACUACCCCACAAGUUAAAAAUAAAACCACUAGUACGGAAUAGACAUUAAGGCUUGCCAUGCUGUGCGAAUCUGAUGUUACUAGUUAAACUUGGUUCGUAGAAUUAAUUUCGAACGAGAUUUGCAGGGGAAAAACUGGCAUUUAUAGGAAGUAUUAUAACCACAUUAAACUAGAAUACGUUACAAUAAAGAAAACAUUCAAUAUUUCAAUUUAAUUCUAACAUUCAAUAUUUCAGUUUAAUUAGCAUUAAUUUUCAUUACUACAAAUCUAAAUAUUAAUUCAAAGACACACAUUUAUACUUCCCUUUAUAAUUCUUAAAUGGAAUUAAACGGAUCACUUAAAUAAGGUUCAAUAAAGAUGAUUAUGUCGUACAUGUGUUUCUGCGUUGAAACUAGGAUUGAACUAUCACGUCCACUCCAAACAAACACCUGGACGGUAAUAUGGAGAAAAAAACAUAUGGAAAAAGCAAUAUGGGAUAUAGUACACUUACAUGACAGACACACAUACUCGUUAUGCGUGCCAUCCUAUUUUUCUAUUUUUUUGAAGUUGUGUAUGCACAUGUUGUGUUGCUGGUUAAAAAUUCACGUGCAUUUCAAAAUGUAAUGAGCUAUACCAGAUUCCCCUAACAGUGAUAUGUAGGUGCCACAAUAUAGAAAUAAUUAUGCAAAGCGUAAAAUCUUAUAACCUUGUUGUUGUUAAAAAGUUUUUAUCACACUUAUCAUAUUUGUAAAAUGUAAAAUGGAAACUAAAUGAUUGACAUUCAAAAUUAAUUCAUCAACAAUAUUUCACGUUCUGAUAUUAAGUCAAUGUAUCUCUUUAUCGUGGGACUCCAAUUCGGUUAUUGGCUUCUUCGUUCUACUUUAAAUUUUUAGGUGUAAGCGUUCUGGCCCAAUUUUACUGAAAUAUGAAUUAAAGCUUUUAGUGGAAUAAGUAACAGAGCUUGGAAAAUGAAAAAUUAUAUUAGAGAGUGAAAUUGGAAACAUCAAAUGACGUUCCAUUUUUAUAACUCUCGUAGGUAUUUCCCAAAUAAUGAAUAGGAUUUAGUUUUUAUAUAAAUUGAUCCUUUUUUAGUAGGGAAAAUGUGGGGCGUACGUCGCCGACAUAUUUGGAGUUUCAUUCUCGAUCUUGAUAAAAACAAGUAAUUUAAAGGAAGAAGAAUAAGGAAAUCAAGUUAGGACUUUGAAUCGUUACAUCAUUUUCGACGUGGAUUUCGAGAUUGCCUCUCCUCUGCGGAAACGAAAGUGGUCAUAACUAUUAGAUUAGUAUCGAAGGAGAAAAAAUGGAAAAUGAAACAAAUGAGUCGAUAGGAAAGGAACUGUUACAAAUUAUAGUGCACGUCCUUUGGAGGAUAUUUCGUGGCACGAUAUGUGUCUUUUCAAAACUUUGAUAAGUCAAAGCAUUUUUCCAUCAAAGGCAAUGUGAAAUUAAAUUGUAUAAAGGCUUUCAAGGGAUCGAGGUUGUUUCAAUUUCACACCACGCUAGAACAUUCCAAUUCCACAUUAUUGACAUGAACUUAAUAUUUAUAAUAAUGAUAUUUGUGUCAAUUUAAACAAUGUGAAACAAUAUGUAGUGCUCGAUUUGAGAUGGUUAUCAUGUUUCGGUGCUAUAAAAUUAAAAAUAAUGGCAUGUAUAAAAUCAUUGUGUAUUAAGUAAUGGCUUCUAUAGAACCAUUUAAUUUCCGUACAACUAAAUAUAAUUUUACUAGGCUUUAAAUUUAAUGACACAUUUUAAUGAAGCUUUCGGAACAAUAUCAAAAAUACAGACAAGAGAACCAUUUUGGCCCUUUACAUCUGGUAACCGUUUUUUAGCUUUAGCAAUCCCAUAUCCUUAAGCAGACGGAGAUGGUGAAUCAAUCAAUGCAAGGCAAUUAUUCCAUGUCUGAAUGCUCUUAGCUAUAAUUGUCGCUGGGUUUAGGUCUUUGAAUACAGGAUUUUCAAGAGUCCUCUUUACUAAUGCUGAGUGGCAAACUUUUCCCAACACAACAAGUUCGCCGCAACACAUGUUAGAAAUACUCCCUGUAUUGAAAAUACUCGUGAAAGCUUCUAGAACACAAGGCAAACCCAUUUUAGUUUCACAAUUAUUUUCCUUAAUAAUCUGGUAGUUCUCCUUCGUAGCCAUUACUGCCCCACAAGUUAAAAAUAAAACCACUAGUACGGAAUAGACAUUAAGUCUUGCCAUGCUGUGCAAAUCUGACGUUACUAGUUAAACUUGGUUCGUAGAAUUAAUUUCGAACGAGAUUUGCAGGGGAAAAACUGGCAUUUAUAGGAAAUGCUAUAACCACAUUAAUCUAGAAUACGUUACAAUAAAGAAAACAUUCAAUAUUUCAAUUUAAUUCUAACAUUCAAUAUUUCAGUUUAAUUAGCAUUAAUUUUCAUUACUACAAAUCUAACACACAUUUAUACUUUCUUUUAUAAUUCUUAAAUGGCAUUAAACGGAUCACUGAAAUAAGGUUCAAUAAAGAUGAUUAUGUCGUACAUGUGUUUCUGCGUUGAAACUAGGAUUGAACUAUCACGCCCACUCCAAACAAACACCUGGACGGUAAUAUGGAGAAAAAACAUAUGGAAAAAGCAAUAUGGGAUAUAGUACACUUACAUGACAGGCACACAUACUCGUUAUGCGUGCCAUCCUAUUUUUCUAUUUUUUUGAAGUUGUGUAUGCACAUGUUAUGUUGAUGGUUAAAAAUUCACGUGCAUCUCAAAAUUGAAUGAGCUAUACCAGAUUCCCCUAACAUUCAUAUGUAGGUGCCACAAUGUAGAAAUAAUUAUGCAAAGCAUAAAAUCUUAUAACCUUGUUGUUGUUAAAAAGUUUUUAUCACACUUAUCAUAUUUGUAAAAUGUAAAAUGGAAACUAAAUGAUUGACAUUCAAAAUUAAUUCAUCAACAAUAUUUCACGUUCUGAUAUUAAGUCAAUGUAUCUCUUUAUCGUGGGACUCCAAUUCGGUUAUUGGCUUCUUCGUUCUACUUUAAAUUUUUAGGUGUAAGCGUCCUGGCCCAAUUUUACUGAAAUAUGAAUGAAAGCUUUUAGUGGAAUAAGUAACAGAGCUUGGAAAAUGAAAAAUUAUAUUAGAGAGUGAAAUAGGAAACAACAAAUGACGUUUCAUUUUUAUAACUCUCGUAGGUAUUUCCCAAAUAAUGAAUAGGAUUUAGUUUUUAUAUAAAUUGAUCCUUUUUUAGUAGGGAAAAUGUGGGGCGUACGUCGCCGACAUAUUUGGAGUUUCAUUCUUGAUCUUGAUAAAAACAAGUAAUUUAAAGGAAGAAGAAUAAGGAAAUCAAGUUAGGACUUUGAAUCGUUAGAUCAUUUUCGAUGUGGAUUUCAAGAUUUCCUCUCCUCUACAAAAACGAAAGUGGUCAUAACUAUUAGAUUAGUAUUGAAGGAGCGAAAAUGAAAAAUGAAACAAAUGAGUCCAUAGGCAAGGAACUUUUACAAAUUAUAGUGCACAUCCUUUGGAGGAUAUUUCGUGGCACGAUAUGUGUCUUUUCAAAACUUCGAGAAGUCAAGGCAUUUUUCCAUCAAAGGCAAUGUGAAUUUAAAUUGUAUAAAGACUUUCUAGGAAUCGAGGUUGUUUCAAUUUCACACCACGCUAGAACAUUCCAAGUCCACAUUAUUGACAUGAACUUAAUGUUUAUAAUAAUGAUAUUUGUGUCAAUUUAAACAAUGUGAAACAAUAUGUAGUGCUCGAUUUAAGAUGGUUAUCGAGUUCCACUGCUAUAAACUUAAAAAUAAUGGCAUGUAUAAAAUCAUUGUGUAUUAAGUAAUGGCUUCUAUAGAACCAUUUAAUUUCCGUACAACUAAAUAUAAUUUAAGUAGGCUUUAAAUUUAAUGACACAUUUUAAUGAAGCUUUCGGAACAAUAUCAAAACUAAAGACAAAAGAACAAUUUUGGCCCUUUACGUCUGGUAACCGUUUUUUCGCUUUAGCAAUCCUAUAUCCUUAAGCAGACGGAGAUGGUGAAUAGAUCAAUGCAAGGCAAUUAUUCCAUGUCUGAAUCCUCUUAACUAUAAUUGUCGCUGGGUUUAGGUCUUUGAAUACAGGAUUUUCAAGAGUCCUCUUUACUAAUGCUGAGUGGCAAACUUUUCCCAACACAACAAUUUCGCUGCAACACUUGUUAGAAAUACUCCCUGUAUUAAAAUACUCAUGAAAGCUUCUAGAACACAGGGCAAACCCAUUUUCGUUUCACAAUUAUUUCCCUUUAUAAUCUAGUCGUUCACCUACGUAGCCAUUACUACCCCACAAGUUAAAAAUAAAACCACUAGUACGGAAUAAACAUUAAGGCUUCCCAUGCUGUGUGAAUCUGAUGUUACUAGUUAAACUUGGUUCCUAAAAUUAAUUUCGAACGAGAUUUGCAGAGGAAAAAAAUGGCAUUUAUAGGAAGUGUUAUAACCACAUUAGACUAGAAUAUGUUACAAUAAAAUAAAACAUUGAAUAUUUCAAUUUAAUUAGAACAUUCAAUAUUUCAGUUUAAUAAGCAUUAAUUUUUAUUACUACAAAUCUAAAUAUUAAUUCAAAAACACACAUUUAUACUUCCCCUUAUAAUUCUUAAAUGGCAUUAAACGGAUCACUUAAAUAAGGUUCAAUAAAGAUGAUUAUGUCCUACAUGUGUUUUUGCCUUGAAACUAGGAUUGAACUAUUACGUCCACUCCAAGCAAACACCUGGACGGUAAUAUGGAGAAAAUAACAUAUGGAAAAAGCAAUAUGGGAUAUAGUACAUGUGCAUGACAGGCACACAUAUUCAUUAUGCAUGCCAUCCUAUUUUUCUAAUUUUUUGAAGUUGUGUAUGCACAUGUUAUGUUGAUCGUUAAAAAUUCACGUGCAUCUCAAAAUUGAAUAAGCUAUACCAGAUUGCCCUAACAGUGAUAUGUAUGUGCCACAAUGUAGAAAUAAUUAUGCAAAGCGUAAAAUCUUAUAACCUUGUUGUUGUUAAAAAGUUUUUAUCACACUUAUCAUAUUUGUAAAAUGUAAAAUGGCAACUAAAUGAUUGACAUUUAAAAUUAAUUCAUCAACAAUAUUUCACGUUCUGAUAUUAAGUCGAUGUAUGUCUUUAUCGUGGGACUCCAAUUCGGUUAUUGUCUUCUUCGUUCUACGUUAAAUUUUUAGGUGUAAGCGUUCUGGCCCAAUUUUAGUGAAAUAUGAAUGAAAGCUUUUAGUGGAAUAAGUAACAGAGCUUGGAAAAUGAAAAAUUCUAUUAGAGAGUGAAAUUGGAAACAACAAAUGACGUUUCAUUUUUAUAACUCUCGUAGGCAUUUCCCGAAUAAUAAAUAGGAUUUAGUUUUUAUAUAAAUUGAUCCUUUUUUAAUAGGGAAAAUGUGGGGCAUACGUCGCCGACAUAUUUGUAGUUUCAUUCUCGAUAUUGAUAAUUUAAAGGAAGAAGAAUAAGGAAAUCAAGUUAAGACUUUGAAUCGUUACAUCAUUUUUGACGUGGAUUUCGAGAUUGCCUCUCCUCUACAGUAACGAAAGUGGUCAUAACUGUUAGAUUAGUAUCGAAGGAGCGAAAAUGGAAAAUGAAUCAAAUGAGUCCAUAGGCAAGGAACUAUUACAAAUUACAGUGCACGUACUUUGGAGGAUAUUUCGUGGCACGAUAUGUGUCUUUCAAAACUUCGAGAAGUCAAGGCAUUUUUCCAUCAAAGGCAAUGUGAAUUUAACUUGUAUAAAGGCUUUCAAGGAAUCGAGGUUGUUUCAAUUUCACACCAUGUUAGAACAUUCCAAUUCCACAUUAUUGACAUGAACUUAAUGUUUAUAAUAAUGAUAUUGGUGUCAGUUUAAACAAUAUGAAACAAUAUGUAGUGCUCGAUUUGAGAUGAUUAUCGUGUUCCGCUGCUAUAAAAUUAAAAAUAAUGGCAUGUAUAGAAUCAUUGUGUAUUACGCAAUGGCUUCUGUAGAACCAUUUAAUUUCUGUACAACUAAAUAUAAUAUAUCUAGGCUUUAAAUUUAAUGACACAUUUUAAUGAAGCUUUUGAAACAAUAUCAAAAAUAAAGACAAAAGAACAAUUUUGGCCCUUUACGUUUGGUAACCGUUUUGUAGCUUUAGCAAUCCUAUAUCCUUAAGCAGACGGAGAUGGUGACUCGAUAAAUGCAAGGAAAUUAUUCCAUGUCUGAAUGCUCUUAGCUAUAAUUGUCGCUGGGUUUAGGUCUUUGAAUACAGGAUUUUCAAGAGUCCUCUUUACUAAUGCUGAGUGGCAAACUUUUCCCAACACAACAAGUUCGCCGCAACACUUGUUAGAAAUACUCCCUAUAUUGAAAAUACUCAUGAAAGCUUCUAGAACACAGGGCAAACCCAUUUGCUUCUCCUUAAUAAUCUGGUCGUUCUCCUUCGUAGCCAUUACUACCCCACAAGUUAAAAAUAAAACCACUAGUACGGAAUAAACAUUAAGGCUUUCCAUGUUGUGCGAAUCUGAUGUUACUAGUUAAACUUGGUUCCUAAAAUUAAUUUCGAACGAGAUUUACAGGGGAAAAAACUGGCAUUUAUAGGAAGUGUUAUAACCACAUUAGACUAGAAUACAUUACAAUAAAAGAAAACAUUCAAUAUUUCAAUUUAAUUCUAACAUUCAAUAUUUUAGUUUAAUUAGCAUUAAUUUUUAUUACUACAAAUCUAAAUAUUAAUUCAAAGACACACAUUUACACUUUCCUUUAUAAUUCUUAAAUGGCCUUAAACGGAUCACUUAAAUAAGAUUCAAUAAAGAUUAUUAUGUCGUACAUGUGUUUUUCUGCGUUGAAACUAGGAUUGAACUAUUACGUCUGUUAGAAUUAAGUGACCCAAAUUCUUAUUUAAAUAAAAUACGAUGGAAAAUAAAAUAAAAGUAAAAUCCAUAUAGAACUAGACUUCUUUUAUUUUAUUUUAGAAUAAGGUUUUUUAAACCUUAUUAAACUUCAUCUAUUUUAUAUUGAUUAGGAUAAGGUGUUUCAAUCCUACUAGAAUAUGGCUUUACAAGCCUAUAAAUAGACAUAGUCUAUUCCUCUUGUAUUGAUUCAAAUUUUUCGACAUAGUGAAUUUUCUUCUCCUUUGCCCGUGGUUUUUUCCCGAAAGGGUUUCCACGUAAAAUUUGUGUGUUCUUUAUUUUUUUUCUCAAAUUGGUAUCCGAGCUUCCGGGUUAUUCAUCUCGAUCACGGUAAUGGCGUCUUUGAAGUAUGAAAUUCUGCUGUUGGAUCGCAACACCAAAUUUGCAUUGUGGCAAAUUAAGAUGCAAGUAGUUCUUGCACAAAUGGAUCUGGAGGAUGCCCUGCUAGGGAUAGAUAAGAUGCCUUUGACAUUAACAGAUGAAGAGAAGAAGCGUAAGGAUCGAAAGGAUCGAAAGGUGUUAACACAAUUACUUCUGCUUUUGUCCAACGAAAUUUUGCAGGAUGUGAUGAAAGAGAAGACUGCCGCUGCAUUAUGGAAGAGGCUAGAACAAAUAUGUAUGUCGAAAACUCUAACAAGCAAGUUGCAUAUGAAGCAGUGUCUUUAUCUCAUCGUUUGGAGGAAGGUGCGUCUGUACACAAACACUUAACAGUGUUUAAAGAAAUUCUCUCAAACUUGGAGGCCAUGGAGGUUCAGUAUGAUAAGGAAGAUCUAGGGUUGAUUCUACUUUGUUCGUUGCCCCCGUCUUAUUCAACCUUUAGAGACACGAUUUUAUAUAGCUGCGAGUCUCUCACAGUUGAUGAGGUUUAUGAUUCUUUAACCUCGUAUGAUAAAAUGAAGCAUCUUGUGGUUAAACCCAACUCUCAGGGAGAAGGUCUCAUUGUUCGUUGGAGACAAGAUCGGAAUGCUGAUGAUAAUCGUGGUAGGCCACAGGAACGGAAUCCUCAUGGUAAAUCUAAAGGUAGAUCGAAGUCUUCAAAUAGAGGUAAAACUUGUAACUUCUGCAAGAAGAAAGGGCACAUUAAAUCUGAGUGCUAUAAGCUACAAAAUAAGAUUAAAAGGGAGGCUGCGAAUCAAAAGGGAAAACAACUAGAAAAUUUCGGUGAAGAUGAUGUUGUAGAAGAUUACAGCGAUGGUGAACUUCUAGUUGCUUCUAUCAAUGAUUCUAAAGUAAGCGAGGAAUGGAUACUUGAUUCAGGCUGCACCUUCCACAUGAGUCCCAAUCGGGAUUGGUUUACAACUUAUGAAACAGUGUCUGAAGGUGUUGUUUUGAUGGGAAAUAAUGUUUCGUGUAAAAUCGCAGGUGUUGGAACAGUUAAAGUUAAGAUGUUUGAUGGAGUUGUCAAAACACUUAGUGUGGUACGACAUGUUCCAGAAUUGAAGGGUACAGAUAUACAGCUGAAAGUGGGAUUUUAAAGAUUUCCAAAGGUUCCCUUGUUGUGAUGAAAGGGCAAAGAAAAACUUCCAAGUUAUAUGUUUUGCAGGGUUCUAGUGUUACUGGUGAUGCAGCUGUCGCUUCCUCUUCCUUGUCAAAUGAUGAUAUUACUAAACUUUGGCAUAUGUGCCUAGGGCAUAUGAGUGAGAAUGGCAUGGUAGAAUUGAGUAAAAGAGGACUUUUUGAUGGGCAAGGAAUUUGCAAACUAAAUUUCUGUAAGCAUUGUGUUUUUGGGAAGCAAAAGAGAGUUCGAUUCACUAGAGGAAUCCAUAACACGAAGGGAAUAUUGGAGUAUAUUCAUUCUGAUCUGUGGGGGCCAUCCAGAGUGCCUUCGAGAGGUGGAGCUAAUUAUAUGCUAACCUUUAUUGAUGAUUUUUCCAGAAAAGUUUGGACGUUCUUCCUGAAGAAGAAAAGCGAUGUGUUUUUCGCAUUUAAGUUUUGGAAAAUUAUGAUUGAAAAAACAGACAGGAAAAUAGAUAAAAUACCUCUGCAUAGAAAAUGGCUUAGAGUUCUGUUCUGAUGAGUUUAAUAGAUUGUGCAAGUCAGAAGGGAUCAUGAGACACUUGACAAUUUAUCAUACUCCACAACAAAACGGCGUUGUAGAACGAAUGAACAGAACGAUCAUGGAGAAGGUUCGAUGUAUGUUGUCAAAUGCCAACUUAUCGAACUCAUUUUGGGCAGAAGCAGCCUCUACUGCAUGUUUUUUAAUCAACCGAUCUCCAUCUGUUGCCAUUGAGAAAAAGACUCCACAAGAGGUAUGGUCUGGUAAUCCUACUAAUUAUUCUAAUUUAAAGAUUUUUGGGUGUCCUGCGUAUGCUCAUGUUGAUAAUGGAAAAUUGGAACCGAGAUCCAUUAAAUGCUUUUUUCUUGGUUAUAAAGCUGGUGUAAAAGGGUAUAAGUUAUAGCGUCCUGAAAAUAGAAAAGUUGUGAUUAGCAAAGAUGUUGUUUUUGAUUGAACUGCUAUGCUACCUAACUUAUCUCUUAAAGACUCUUCCAAUAAAGAAAAUCAAGAAUAGGUGGAGCAUCAGAUUAAUACAGAGUCAACUCCUCAAGCUAGAACAAAAGUUGAGAAUAGAGUUGCUUCUUCACCACAAUACUCUAUCGCCAAAAAUAGAACUAGAAGAGAAAUUAAACCUUCAAAGAAGUAUGCCGAGGCUGAUCUAGUUUCUUAUGCUAUAAAUGUGGCUGAAGAUAUAGAUGCGAAUCAAGAGCCAUCUAAUUAUUCUGAGGCGGUUAGCUGUAAAGACUCAGAAAAGUGGAUGUUUGCUAUGCAAGAAGAGAUGGAAUCACUCUACAAAAACAGAACAUGGGAUCUUGCGAAACUUCCUAAAGGUAAAAAGGUUGUUCGUUGUAAAUGGGUGUUUAAAAAGAAAGAAGGGACUCCAGGAGUUGAAGAACCCAGAUAUAAAGCAAGGCUUGUUGCAAAGGGUUACAGUCAAAUUCCAGGAGUGGACUUCACAGAUGUGUUCUCUCCAGUUGUUAAGCAUAGUUCGAUUCGAGCUUUGCUUGGUAUUGUGGCCAUGCAUGAUUUUGGAGCUUGGGCAGUUAGAUGUAAAAACUGCAUUUCUGCAUGGAGAACUUGAGGAGGAUAUUUACAUGCAACAACCAGAGGGUUUUAUAGUCUCAGAAAAAGAAGACUAUGUUUGCUUGCUGAAAAAGUCCCUUUACGGUUUGAAACAGUCACCAAGACAGUGGUACAAGAGGUUUGAUUCCUUUAUGACUUCUCAUGAUUUCAAAAGAAGUAGUUUUGACAGUUGUGUUUACUUUAAGAAAAAUAGUGAUGGUUCUUUUGUGUAUCUACUUCUUUAUGUUGAUGACAUGUUGAUAGCAGCAAAAGAUAAAUGAGAGAUAAGAAAUGUUAAAACCCAACUAAGUAAAGAAUUUGAGAUGAAAGAUUUAGGACCAACAAAGAAGAUACUUGGAAUGGAGAUUCUCAGAGAUAGAAAAACAAGUAAAUUGUACCUAAGUCAGAAGGGGUACAUUGAGAAAGUUCUUUGCAGGUUAAAUAUGCAGAGUGCUAAGCCUGUUAGUACUCCUUUAGCAGCCCAUUUCAAACUUUCAUCAGCUUUGUCUCCACAAUCAGUUGAUGAGAUUGAGUACAUGUCACAUGUUCCAUACUCUAGUGCAGUGGGAUCUAUCAUGUAUGCUAUGGUUUGUUCAUGUCUAGAUUUAUCAUAUGCAGUCAGUGCAGUUAGCAGAUACAUGGCGAAUCCCGGUAAAGAACACUGGAAAGCAGUUCAGUGGAUUCUAAGAUACUUACGAGGUACUACUGAUGUUUGCUUACAGUUUGGAAGAACUAAAGAUGGAGUCAUAGGGUAUGUUGAUGCUGAUUUUGCUAGAGACCUUGAUAAAAGAAGAUCUCUCACAGGUUAUGUCUUUACAAUCAGAGGUUGUGCAAUCAGUUGGAAAGCCACUUUGCAGUCUACAGUUGCUUUGUCUACCACUGAAGCUGAGUACAUGGCGAUUACUGAGGCUUGUAUAGAAGCUAUUUAAUUGAAGGGACUCUUUAGUGAACUCAAUGAAGACCUUCAAAUCAGCACAGUAUUUUGUGACAGUCAGAGUGCCAUCUUUCUUACAAAAGAUCAAAUGUUUCAUGAGAGAACAAAACACAUUGAUGUUCGGUAUCAUUUUGUUCGUGAUGUUAUUGCUCAAGGUGAUAUUGUUGUGAGCAAAAUUAGUACUCAUGAAAAUCCUGCAGAUAUGAUGACUAAGUCACUUCCUAUAACCAAGUUUGAGCAUUGCUCAAACUUGGUUGGUGUACAUUGUUGAAGUUAAACCCUUAAGGGGUUUUAUGGAAGAGGUGGAGAACUUGUUUAUAGAAAGUUCGCGAUGAAGAACUUGUUCAUUGAGAAUUUGUUUCAAGGUGGAGAUUGUUAGAAUUAAGUGACCCAAAUUCUUAUUUAAAUAAAAUACUAUGGAAAAUAAAAAAAAGUAAAAUCCAUAUAGAACUAGACUUCUUUUAUUUUAUUUUAGAAUAAGGUUUUUUAAACCUUAUUAAACUUCAUCUAUUUUAUAUUGAUUAGGAUAAGGUGUUUCAAUCCUACUAGAAUAUGGCUUUACAAGCCUAUAAAUAGACAUAGUCUAUUCCUCUUGUAUUGAUUCAAAAUUUUCGACAUAGUGAAUUUUCUUCUCCUCUACCCGUGGUUUUUUCCCGAAAGGGUUUCCACGUAAAAUUUGUGUGUUCUUUCUUUUAUAUUUUAUAUUUUUAUUUUUCUUUUUAUUUUAUUUUAGUUUUCUCAACGUCCACUCCAAACAAACACCUAGACGGUAACAUGGAGAAAAAACAUAUGGAAAAAGCAAUAUGGGAGAUAGUACACAUGCAUGACAGGCACACAUAUUCGUUAUGCUUGCCAUCCUAUUUUUCUAAUUUUUUGAAGUUGUGAAUGCACAUGUUAUGUUGAUGGUUAAAAAUUCACGUGCAUCUCAAAAUUGAAUGAGCUAUACCAGAUUCCCCUAACAGUGAUAUGUAUGUGCCAGAAUGUAGAAAUAAUUAUGCAAAGCGUAAAAUCUUAUAACCUUGUUGUUGUUAAAAAAAUUUAUCACACUUAUCAUAUUUCUAAAAUGGAAAAUGGAAACUAAAUGAUUGACAUUCAAAAUUAAUUCAUCAACAAUAUUUCAUGUUAUGAUAUUAAGUCGAAUUAUGUCUUUAUCGUGGGACUCCAAUUCGGUUAUUGUCUUCUUCGUUCCACGUUAAAUUUUUAGGUGUAAGUGUUCCGGCCCAAUUUUACUGAAAUAUGAAUGAAAGCUUUUAGCGGAAUAAGUAACAGAGCUUGGAAAAUGAAAAAUUCUAUUAGAGAGUGAAAUUGGAAACAACAAAUGACGUUUCAUUUUUAUAACUCUCGUAGGUAUUUCCCAAAUAAUGAAAAGGAUUUAGUUUUUAUAUAAAUUGAUCCUUUUUUAGUAGGGAAAAUGUGGGGCGUACGUCGUUGACAUUUUUGGAGUUUAAUUCUCGAUCUUGAUAAAAACAAGUAAUUUAAAGGAAGAAGAAUAAGGAAAUCAAGUUAAGACUUUGAAUCGUUACAACAUUUUCGACAUGGAUUUCGAGAUUGCCUCUCCUCCACGGAAACAAAAGUGGUCAUAACUAUUAGAUUAGUAUCGAAGGAGUGAAAAUGGAAAAUCAAACAAAUGAGUCCAUAGGCAAGGAACUAUUACAAAUUAUAGUGCACGUACUUUGGAGGAUAUUUCAUGGUACGAUAUGUGUCUUUUCAAAACUUCGAGAAGUCAAGGCAUUUUUCCAUCAAAGGCAAUGUGAAUUUAAAUUGUAUAAAGACUUUCAAGGAAUCGAGGUUGUUUCAAUUUCACACCACGCUAGAACAUUCCACGUCCACAUUUUUGACAUGAACUUAAUGUUUAUAAUAAUGAUAUUUGUGUCAAUUUAAACAAUGUGAAACAAUAUAUAGUGCUCGAUUUGAUAUGGUUAUCGAGUUCCACUGCUAGAAAAUUAAAAAUACUGGCAUGUAUAAAAUCAUUGUGUAUUAAGUAAUGGCUUCUAUAGAACCAUUUAAUUUUCGUACAACUGAAUAUAAUUUUACUAGGCUUCAAAUUUAAUGAAACAUUUUAAUGAAGCUUUCGGAACAAUAUCAAAAAUAAAGACAAGAGAACAAUUUUGGCCCUUUACCUCUGGUAAUUGUUUUUUAGCUUUAGCAAUCCUAUAUCCUUAAGCAGACGGAGAUGGUUAAUCAAUCAAUGCAAGGCAAUUAUUCCAUCUCUGAAUGCUCUUAGCUAUAAUUGUCGCUGGGUCUAGGUCUUUGAAUAUAGGAUUUUCAAGAGUCCUCUUUACUAAUGCUGAGUGGCAAACUUUUCCCAACACAACAAGUUCGCCGCAACACUUGUUAGAAAUACUCCCUGUAUUGAAAAUACUCGUGAAAGCUUCUAGAACACAAGGCAAACCCAUUUUAGUUUCACAAUUAUUUUCCUUAAUAAUCUGGUAGUUCUCCUUCGUAGCCAUUACUGCCCCACAAGUUAAAAAUAAAACCACUAGUACGGAAUAGACAUUAAGGCUUGCCAUGUUGUGUGAAUCUGAUGUUACUAGUUAAACUUGGUUCGUAGAAUUAAUUUCGAACGAGAUUUGCAGGGGAAAAACUGGCAUUUAUAGGAAGUGUUAUAACCACAUUAAACUAGAAUACGUUACAAUAAAGAAAACAUUCAAUAUUUCAAUUUAAUUCUAACAUUCAAUAUUUCAGUUUAAUUAGCAUUAAUUUUCAUUACUACAAAUCUAAAUAUUAAUUCAAAGACACACAUUUAUACUUCCCUUUAUAAUUCUUAAAUGGCAUUAAACGGAUCACUUAAAUAAGGUUCAAUAAAGAUGAUUAUGUCGUACAUGUGUUUCUGCGUUGAAACUAGGAUUGAACUAUCACGUCCACUCCAAACAAACACCUGGACGGUAAUAUGGAGAAAAAAAACUUAUGGAAAAAGCAAUAUGGGACAUAGUACACUUACAUGACAGGCAUACAUACUCGUUAUGCGUGCCAUCCUAUUUUUCUAUUUUUUUGAAGUUGUGUAUGCCCAUAUUAUGUUGAUGAUUAAAAAUUCACGUGCAUCUCAAAAUUGAAUGAGCUAUACCAGAUUCCCCUAACAGUGAUAUGUAGGUGCCACAAUGUAGAAAUAAUUAUGUAAAGCAUAAAAUCUUAUAACUUUGUUGUUGUUAAAAAGUUUUCAUCACACUUAUAAUAUUUGUAAAAUGUAAAAUGGAAACUAAAUGAUUGACAUUCAAAAUUAAUUCAUCAACAAUAUUUCACGUUCUGAUAUUAAGUCAAUGUAUGUCUUUCUCGUGGGACUCCAAUUCAGUUAUUGGAUUCUUCGUUCUACGUUAAAUUUUUAGGUGUAAGCGUUCUGGCCCAAUUUUACUGAAAUAUGAAUUAAAGCUUUUAGUGGAAUAAGUAACAGAGCUUGGAAAAUGAAAAAUUAUAUUAGAGAGUGAAAUUGGAAACAACAAAUGAUGUUUCAUUUUUAUAACUCUCGUAGGUGUUUCCCAAAUAAUGAAUAGGAUUUAGUUUUUAUAUAAAUUGAUCCUUUUUUAGUAGGAAAAAUGUAGGGCGUACGUUGCCGACAUAUUUGGAGUUUCAUUCUCGAUCUUGAUAAAAACAAGUAAUUUAAAGGAAGAUGAAUAAGGAAAUCAAGUUAGGACUUUGAAUCGUUACAUCAUUUUCGACUUGGAUUUCGAGAUUGCCUGUCCUCUGCGGAAACGAAAGUGGUCAUAACUAUUAGAUUAGUAUCGAAGGAGAAAAAUGGAAAAUAAAACAAAUGAGUCGAUAGGAAAGGAACUGUUGCAAAUUAUAGUGCACGACCUUUCGAGGAUAUUUCGUGGCAGGAUAUGUGUCUUUUCAAAACUUCGAUAAGUCAAGGCAUUUUUCCAUCAAAGGCAAUGUGAAUUUAAAUUCUAUAAAGGCUUUCAAGGAAUCCAGGUUGUUUCAAUUUCACACCACGCUAGAACAUUCCAAUUCGUCAUUAUUCACAUGAACUUAAUGUUUAUAAUAAUGGUAUUUGUGUCAAUUUAAACAAUGUGAAACAAUAUGUAGUGCUCGAUUUAAGAUGGUUAUCAUGUUUCGGUGCUAUAAAAUUAAAAAUAAUGGCAUGUAUAAAAUCAUUGUGUAUUAGGUAAUGGCUUCUAUAGAACCAUUUAAUUUCCGUACAACUAAAUAUAAUUUGAGUAGGCUUUAAAUUUAAUGACAAAUUUUAAUGAAGCUUUCGGAACAAUAUCAAAAAUACAGACAAUAGAACAAUUUUGGCCGUUUACAUCUGGUAACCAUUUUUUAGCUUUAGCAAUCCCAUAUCCUUAAGUAGACGGAGAUGGUGAAUCAAUCAAUGCAAGGAAAUUAUUCCAUGUCUGAAUGCUCUUAGCUAUAAUUGUCGCUGGGUUUAGGUCUUUGAAUACAGGAUUUUCAAGAGUCCUCUUUACUAAUGAUGAGUGGCAAACUUUUCCCAACACAACAAGUUCACCGCAACACUUAUUAGAAAUACUCCCUGUAUUGAAAAUACUCGUGAAAGCUUCUAGAACACAAGGCAAACCCAUUUUAGUUUUACAAUUAUUUUCCAUAAUAAUCUGGUAGUUCUCCUUCGUAGCCAUUACUACCCCACAAGUUAAAAAUAAAACCACUAGUACGGAAUAGACAUUAAGGCUUGCCAUGCUGUGCGAAUCUGAUGUUACUAGUUAAACUUGGUUCGUAGAAUUAAUUUCGAACAAGAUUUGCAGGGGAAAAACUGGCAUUUAUAGGAAGUAUUAUAACCACAUUAAACUAGAAUACGUUACAAUAAAGAAAACAUUCAAUAUUUCAAUUUAAUUCUAACAUUCAAUAUUUCAGUUUAAUUAGCAUUAAUUUUCAUUACUACAAAUCUAAAUAUUAAUUCAAAGACACACAUUUAUACUUCCCUUUAUAAUUCUUAAAUGGAAUUAAACGGAUCACUUAAAUAAGGUUCAAUAAAGAUGAUUAUGUCGUACAUGUGUUUCUGCGUUGAAACUAGGAUUGAACUAUCACGUCCACUCCAAACAAACACCUGGACGGUAAUAUGGAGAAAAAAACAUAUGGCAAAAGCAAUAUGGGAUAUAGUACACUUACAUGACAGACACACAUACUCGUUAUGCGUGCCAUCCUAUUUUUCUAUUUUUUUGAAGUUGUGUAUGCACAUGUUGUGUUGCUGGUUAAAAAUUCACGUGCAUUUCAAAAUGUAAUGAGCUAUACCAGAUUCCCCUAACAGUGAUAUGUAGGUGCCACAAUAUAGAAAUAAUUAUGCAAAGCGUAAAAUCUUAUAACCUUGUUGUUGUUAAAAAGUUUUUAUCACACUUAUCAUAUUUGUAAAAUGUAAAAUGGAAACUAAAUGAUUGACAUUCAAAAUUAAUUCAUCAACAAUAUUUCACGUUCUGAUAUUAAGUCAAUGUAUCUCUUUAUCGUGGGACUCCAAUUCGGUUAUUGGCUUCUUCGUUCUACUUUAAAUUUUUAGGUGUAAGCGUUCUGGCCCAAUUUUACUGAAAUAUGAAUUAAAGCUUUUAGUGGAAUAAGUAAUAGAGCUUGGAAAAUGAAAAAUUAUAUUAGAGAGUGAAAUUGGAAACAUCAAAUGACGUUCCAUUUUUAUAACUCUCGUAGGUAUUUCCCAAAUAAUGAAUAGGAUUUAGUUUUUAUAUAAAUUGAUCCUUUUUUAGUAGGGAAAAUGUGGGGCGUACGUCGCCGACAUAUUUGGAGUUUCAUUCUCGAUCUUGAUAAAAACAAGUAAUUUAAAGGAAGAAGAAUAAGGAAAUCAAGUUAGGACUUUGAAUCGUUACAUCAUUUUCGACGUGGAUUUCGAGAUUGCCUCUCCUCUGCGGAAACGAAAGUGGUCAUAACUAUUAGAUUAGUAUCGAAGGAGAAAAAAUGGAAAAUGAAACAAAUGAGUCGAUAGGAAAGGAACUGUUACAAAUUAUAGUGCACGUCCUUUGGAGGAUAUUUCGUGGCACGAUAUGUGUCUUUUCAAAACUUUGAUAAGUCAAAGCAUUUUUCCAUCAAAGGCAAUGUGAAAUUAAAUUGUAUAAAGGCUUUCAAGGGAUCGAGGUUGUUUCAAUUUCACACCACGCUAGAACAUUCCAAUUCCACAUUAUUGACAUGAACUUAAUGUUUAUAAUAAUGAUAUUUGUGUCAAUUUAAACAAUGUGAAACAAUAUGUAGUGCUCGAUUUGAGAUGGUUAUCAUGUUUCGGUGCUAUAAAAUUAAAAAUAAUGGCAUGUAUAAAAUCAUUGUGUAUUAAGUAAUGGCUUCUAUAGAACCAUUUAAUUUCCGUACAACUAAAUAUAAUUUUACUAGGCUUUAAAUUUAAUGACACAUUUUAAUGAAGCUUUCGGAACAAUAUCAAAAAUACAGACAAGAGAACCAUUUUGGCCCUUUACAUCUGGUAACCGUUUUUUAGCUUUAGCAAUCCCAUAUCCUUAAGCAGACGGAGAUGGUGAAUCAAUCAAUGCAAGGCAAUUAUUCCAUGUCUGAAUGCUCUUAGCUAUAAUUGUCGCUGGGUUUAGGUCUUUGAAUACAGGAUUUUCAAGAGUCCUCUUUACUAAUGCUGAGUGGCAAACUUUUCCCAACACAACAAGUUCGCCGCAACACAUGUUAGAAAUACUCCCUGUAUUAAAAUACUCGUGAAAGCUUCUAGAACACAAGGCAAACCCAUUUUAGUUUCUCAAUUAUUUUCCUUAAUAAUCUGGUAGUUCUCCUUCGUAGCCAUUACUGCCCCACAAGUUAAAAAUAAAACCACUAGUACGGAAUAGACAUUAAGGCUUGCCAUGCUGUGCAAAUCUGACGUUACUAGUUAAACUUGGUUCGUAGAAUUAAUUUCGAACGAGAUUUGCAGGGGAAAAACUGGCAUUUAUAGGAAAUGUUAUAACCACAUUAAACUAGAAUACGUUACAAUAAAGAAAACAUUCAAUAUUUCAAUUUAAUUCUAACAUUCAAUAUUUCAGUUUAAUUAGCAUUAAUUUUCGUUACUACAAAUCUAAAUAUUAAUUCAAAGACACACAUUUAUACUUUCUUUUAUAAUUCUUAAAUGGCAUUAAACGGAUCACUGAAAUAAGGUUCAAUAAAGAUGAUUAUGUCGUACAUGUGUUUCUGCGUUGAAACUAGGAUUGAACUAUCACGCCCACUCCAAACAAACACCUGGACGGUAAUAUGGAGAAAAAACAUAUGGAAAAAGUAAUAUGGGAUAUAGUACACUUACAUGACAGGCACACAUACUCGUUAUGCGUGCCAUCCUAUUUUUCUAUUUUUUUGAAAUUGUGUAUGCACAUGUUAUGUUGAUGGUUAAAAAUUCACGUGCAUCUCAAAAUUGAAUGAGCUAUACCAGAUUCCCCUAACAUUCAUAUGUAGGUGCCACAAUGUAGAAAUAAUUAUGCAAAGCAUAAAAUCUUAUAACCUUGUUGUUGUUAAAAAGUUUUUAUCACACUUAUCAUAUUUGUAAAAUGUAAAAUGGAAACUAAAUUAUUGACAUUCAAAAUUAAUUCAUCAACAAUAUUUCACGUUCUGAUAUUAAGUCAAUGUAUCUCUUUAUCGUGGGACUCCAAUUCGGUUAUUGGCUUCUUCGUUCUACUUUAAAUUUUUAGGUGUAAGCGUUCUGGCCCAAUUUUACUGAAAUAUGAAUUAAAGCUUUUAGUGGAAUAAGUAACAGAGCUUGGAAAAUGAAAAAUUAUAUUAGAGAGUGAAAUUGGAAACAACAAAUGACGUUUUAUUUUUAUAACUCUCGUAGGUAUUUCCCAAAUAAUGAAUAGGAUUUAGUUUUUAUAUAAAUUGAUCCUUUUUUAGUAGGGAAAAUGUGGGGCGUACGUCGCCGACAUAUUUGGAGUUUCAUUCUUGAUCUUGAUAAAAACAAGUAAUUUAAAGGAAGAAGAAUAAGGAAAUCAAGUUAGGACUUUGAAUCGUUAGAUCAUUUUCGAUGUGGAUUUCAAGAUUUCCUCUCCUCUACGAAAACGAAAGUGGUCAUAACUAUUAGAUUUGUAUUGAAGGAGCGAAAAUGGAAAAUGAAACAAAUGAGUCCAUAGGCAAGGAACUUUUACAAAUUAUAGUGCACAUCCUUUGGAGGAUAUUUCGUGGCACGAUAUGUGUCUUUUCAAAACUUCGAGAAGUCAAGGCAUUUUUCCAUCAAAGGCAAUGUGAAUUUAAAUUGUAUAAAGACUUUCUAGGAAUCGAGGUUGUUUCAAUUUCACACCACGCUAGAACAUUCCAAUUCCACAUUAUUGACAUGAACUUAGUGUUUAUAAUAAUGAUAUUUGUGUCAAUUUAAACAAUGUGAAACAAUAUCUAGUGCUCAAUUCAGAUGGUUAUCGAGUUCCGGUGCUAUAAAAUUAAAAAUAAUGGUAUGUAUAAAAUCAUUGUGUAUUAAGUAAUGGCUUCUAUAGAACCAUUUAAUUUUCGUACAACUAAAUAUAAUUUAACUAGGCUUUAAAUUUAAUGACACAUUUUAAUGAAGCUUUCGGAACAAUAUCAAAAAUAAAGACAAAAGAACAAUUUUGGCCCCUUACGUUUGGUAACCGUUUUUUAGCUUUAGCAAUCCUAUAUCCUUAAGCAGACGGAGAUGGUGAAUCGAUCAAUGCAAGGCAAUUAUUCCAUGUCUGAAUGCUCCUACCUAUAAUUGUCACUGGGUUUAGGUCUUUGAAUAGAGGAUUUUCAAGAGUCCUCUUUACCAAUGUUGAGUGGCAAACUUUUCCCAACACAACAAAUUCGCCGCAACACUUGUUAGAAAUACUCCCUGUAUUGAAAAUACUUGGGAAAGCUUCUAGAACACAGGGCAAACCCAUUUUAUUUUCACAAUUAUUUUCCUUAAUAAUCUGGUCAUUCUCCUUUGUGGCCAUUACUGCCCCACAAGUUAAAAAUAAAACCACUAUUACGGAAUAAACAUUAAGACUUGCCAUGCUGUGUGAAUGUAAUGUUACUAGUUAAACUUGGUUCGUAAAAUUAGUUUCAAACGAGAUUUGCAGGGUAAAAUACUGGCAUUUAUAAGAAGUGUUAUAACCACAUUAGACUAGUAUACGUUACAAUAAAAGAAAACAUUCAAUAUUUCAAUUUAAUUAGAACAUUCAAUAUUCCAGUUUAAUUAGCAUUAAUUUUUAUUACUACAAAUCUAAAUAUUAAUUCAAAGACACAUUUAUACUUCCCUUUAUAAUUCUUAAAUGGCAUUAAACGGAUCACUUAAAUGAGGUUCAAUAAAGAUGAUUAUGUCGUACACGUGUUUUUGCGUUGAAACUAGGAUUGAACUAUUACAUCCACUCCAAACAAACACCUGGAUGGUAAUAUGGAGAAAAUAACAUAUGGAAAAAGCAAUAUGGGAUAUAGUACACUUACAUGACAGGCACACAUAUUCGUUAUGCGUGCCAUCCUAUUUUUUUAAUUUUUUAAAGUUGUGUAUGCACAUGUUAUGUUGAUGGUUAAAAAUUCACGUGCAUCUCAAAAUUGAAUGAGCUAUACCAGAUUCCCCUAACAGUGAUAUGUUUGUGCCACAAUGUAGAAAUAAUUAUGCAAAGCGUAAAAUCUUAUAACCUUGUUGUUGUUAAAAAGUUUUUUUCACACUUAUCAUAUUUGUAAAAUGGAAAAUGGCAACUCAAUGAUUGACAUUCAAAAUUAAUUCAUCAACAAUAUUUCACGUUAUGUGUAACACCCCUUACCCGUAUCCGUCGUCAGAACAGGGUACGAGGUAUUAACAAAUCAUAGUACAUACUAUUAAAUAAAACCGAGACAAAAAUAUGGCGUGCAAUUAGAUCAUGAAUCAUUAUAACAUAUGCUUUUAACAAUACUAGCCAAUUUCAAAGGCUUCGUACAAAAUAAUCGGUCAAAUACUAUAAUUAAUAUUUUAAACCUAGGCAAUUAUGACAUGUAACAAAAUAACUAAGUCUACUAUACAUGUCAUAAAUCAAAAUGUUCAGUUCAAAUACCCAAAAAUAUUGAUAGUGUAGGCAGAUCUUCAACGAUCCUUGACUCCUAUACAAGUUGACACUAUAAGACAAAAGAGAGAAAAGAAAGUAAGCUUAUAGCUUAGUAAGCAAGUAUAUAAAUAAUGAAUAAAGAAUUUAAUAUGUUUACACAAUAACUCAAGUGUAUCUACUUUUAAUUUCACAAUUUACUCCACUUUGGUCAAGCUGUCUCUCUUGCAUCAUAUUCACUAAAUAAAUCAUAACUCGAGUUACAAAACUUGAAAUUGAAAUCCGUAAAAUUUCCAUGAAACUAGACUCAUAUUAAUUCUUACUAAAAUAUUUCUAGAAUUUUUGGUCCAGCCAAUUAGUACAGUUUAUUAGUUAAAAUUUCCCCUGUUAUACAGCUUGACUGAUCUGACCUCUGUUCACUACGAAUUGAAUUUAUCCUAGUACACAAUUCAAAUAGCCAUGAAAUUUGUUUCAUUUAAAACUAGACUCAAUUAUUAAUCUAUACAUUUAAACUAUAUUUCUUAAUUUAUUUUGUACAAUUUUUAAUGAUUUUUCAAAAUUAGAACAGGGGAUCACAUAGUCAUUCUAAGCGAGUCACACUCAAAUAUAAAUAUCUCAAAAUAUAGAGUUCCUUUACUUGUUCUGUUUAUUUUACAUGGAAAUAGACUCCUUAAGCUUUAAUUACAUAUCUCAUUCAGCCUCUAAUUAAAUUCAUACUAUUUUUGGUGAUUUUUCAAAUUCACAUCACUGCGACUAUCCAAAACAGUAUUAUUGCUAAUUCACUCUUUCACACUUUCUUUGUAUUAACCUCAUUUUAACAUGCAUAUCACAAUUCAUUUUCACCACAUUUCAUACAUCACAAGUAUAGGUCCAUGAUUACAAUGUCACCAUAAAACCAUCCCGUUGAACAAUUCGGAUCAAUCCUCGAUACUUGAUGGUUUCAGCACACAGCCCCACCAUCAUAUUUCAUAUAAUUCGGCUCUCUUCUACACAUGGUGAACACUUAGUACCACCCAUGUGACCUAGCCAAUUUAUCUUGUAGCUCUCUUGUCUACAUGGUGUCCUUCACUUGGAAUCACACAUGCGACCUAGCUACAUUUAUCCUCUCCCGUAGCUCUCUUGUCUACAUGGGAUACAUCCCGUAUCACACAUGCGACCUAGCUACUACAUAGUAUCUCGUAGCUCUCUUGUACACAUGAUGUGCACUCAGCACCAUACAUGUGACCUAGCUACGUUUCAUCUAUAUUAUUCAAUCUUUUCGAAAGUUCAACUGGGAUUUCUCUCGCUAUUACUUAUUUCCAUUCUUCCAAUAGUCAAUUUAUGAUUCAAAAUCAACUAAAAUAUAUAAAAUAGGCUGAAAUAUAAAAAUGUAAAUGAAGUUAAUGUAUUAUUUACAUACAAACUUACCUCGGUGAAAAAUAUGAAAAUUUUGCAAUUUAGUCCAAAACCUUUUCCUUCCCCCGUUCGGAUCUCAAUUUCUGUUGGAGAAAUCACAUGUGAAGGAUCAGAACGAUAACGUAGCAACAUUGAUACAUGAAAUACGUUAUGAAUUCUUUCUAAUUCUGCCGGUAAUGCCAACCGAUAUGCCACUGGUCCAAUCCUCUUAAAAAUCUCGUACGACCCAAUAAAAUGCAGACUCAACUUGCCUUUUCGGCUAAAUCUUAGAAUCUUCUUCCAUGGUGACACCUUCAAGAACACUUUAUCACCCACCUGAAAUUCAAUCUCUUUUCUUUUUAAAUAUGCAUAUAACUUUGUCGACAUGAAGCAGCUUUAAAGUAAUCACGAAUUACUUUUAAUUUCUCUUCAGUUUCGUUAACUAGAUCAACUCCGUGAAUCUGUUUCUCACUAAAGGAGUCCGACACUUGCGACCAUACAAGGCUUCGUACGGUGCCAUCUGUAUACUUGACUGAAAACUGUUAUUGUAGGCAAAUUCAACCAAAGGUAGAUAUUUCUCCCAACUGCCUUCAAAUUCUAAAACACAGCAUCUAAGCAUAUCUUCGAGUACUUGGAUUACUCUUUCCGACUAACCAUCUAUUUGUGGAUGAAACGCGGUACUAAAGUUCAAUUUUGUGCCCAAAGCUUCUUGUAACUUUUUCCAGAAUCUCAAGGUAAACCUCGGAUCUCUAUCUGAUAUUAUAGACAUAGGUACCCCGUGCAACCUCACAAUUUCAACAAUAUAUAAUUCAGCUAAUUUAUGAAGUGAGUAAUCAGUACGUACCAGUAUAAAGUGAGCCGAAUUUGUUAACCUAUCAACCACUACCCAAAUAGAAUCCUUCUUUUUAGGAGUCAGAGGCAAACCGAUUACAAAAUCCAUGGUAAUCCUAUCCCAUUUCCACUCAGGCACCAUUAUCGGUUGGAGUAAUCCUGAAGGCACUUGAUGCUCAGCUUUUACUUGUUGACAGAUCAAACACUUGGUUACAAAUUCAGAAAUGUCCCUUUUCAUGCCUGGCCACCAAUAUAACUUCUUUAAAUCAUUAUACAUUUUUGUGCUACCAGGGUGAACUGACAAACAGCCACUAUGCGCCUCAUGUAAUAUUUUCUGAAUCAAUUCAUCAUUUUUCGGUACACAUAUCCUGUGUCGAAACAUCAAACAGUCAUCUGGUCCAACUCGAAUAUCUGAGUCGUAACCCGAUUCGCACUGAGGUCUCUUGGUUCGCAACUCACUAUCGUUCUUUUGAGUAUCACAAAUUAGCUGGAGAAAUAACAGUUUAGCCCUCAUCUCUGCUAAGAUUGACCCAUCAUCAGACAAUGCUAACCCCGUAUUCAUGGCUCUCAAAGUAAAAAGAGAUUUCCUGCUCAAGACGUCAGCAACUACAUUCGCUUUUCCCGGAUGAUAAUCAAUCAUUAGCUCAUAAUCCUUCAAUAGUUCAAGCCAUCUCCGCAGUCUCAAAUUCAAAUCCUUUUGAUUCAUCAAAUACUUCAAACUUUUGUGAUCAGUAAAAAUUCGGCAUUUUUCACCAUACAAAUAAUGUCGCCAGAUCUUCAAAGCAAAGACAAUAGCGGCCAAUUCCAAAUCAUGUGUAGGAUAGUUCUUCUCAUGCGGUUUUAACUGUCUUGAGGCAUAAGCUACCACUUUACCCUCUUGCAUCAACAUACAUCCAAGGCCUGUCAAUAAUGCAUCACUAUAAAUUACGAACUCCUUCCCUGGCUUGGGCUGUACUAAAAUUGGUGCUUCAGUCAAUCGUGCUUUCAACUUUUCAAAACUCUGCUGACAUUUACCAGUCCAUUCAAACUUAACAUUCUUUUGCAGCAACUUAGUCAUAGGAGAGGCAAUCAUCGAAAAUCUCUCGACAAAACGUCUAUAAUACCCGGCCAAGCCUAAAAAGCUUCUAACCUCGGAUACAUUCUUUGGCGGUUUCCAAUCAACGAUCGUGGAAAUCUUGCUCGGAUCCACUCGAAUACCAUCACCUGAGACUAUAUGUCCCAAAAAUCUGACUUCAUGAAGCCAGAACUCACUUUUACUAAACUUAGCAAACAGUUUCUUUUCUCUCAAGAUCUGCAAUAUGGUUCUCAAGUGUUCGGCGUGCUCAGACUCAUCCCAAGAAUAAAUUAGAAUGUCAUCUAUAAACACUACUACAAACUUAUCUAAAUAUGGCCGAAAGAUUCGGUUCAUCAAGUCCAUAAAUAUAGCUGGAGCAUUUGUUAAGCCGAAAGGCAUCAGAAGGAACUCAUAAUGUCCAUACCUUGUCCUAAAGGCAGUUUUUGACAUAUCCGACUCCUUAACUCUCAACUGGUAGUAACCGGACCUCAAAUCGAUCUUUGAAAACACUGUGGCCCCCUUUAACUGAUCGAAUAAAUCAUCAAUCCUCAGCAACGGGUACUUGUUCUUUAUAGUCACCUUAUUGAGCUGACGGUAAUCAAUGCAAAGCCUCAUUGAGCCAUCCUUCUUCUUUACGAAUAAUACAGGAGCACCCCAGGGAGAGAAACUCGGUCUCACAAAUCCCUUGUCUGUUAACUCUAGCAACUGAGCCUUCAAUUCUUUUAAUUCAGUCGGAGCCAUUCUAUAUGGAGCAAUCGAGAUCGAUGUAGUCCCCGGCAACAAAUCAAUGGCAAACUCUAUCUCUCUGUUCGGAGCCAAUCCAGGCAAUUCCUCUGGAAAUACAUCUGGAAAGUCACAGAAUAUCGGUACUGAUUCAAGCUUCAAUUUAAACAGCUCAGUAUUCAUUACAUAGGCCAGAUAAGCUUCACACCCUUUCCUUAUGUAUUUCUAUGCAGACAUGUGCGAAAUCGCCAUAGGCAAUUUAUUUGAUUCAUCAGUAAUCACAUCGGGAGAUGAUGCAUCCUCUCGGGCACGUAUGGCAUAAGCUCUAAUAGGCGCUCUAGCUUCUGAUCUCGCCGCUGAAUCUUCAUUACAGUUUUACUGCCAGCUCCACUUCCAGUAUUUCUCGGUGGUCUACCUCUGCUAGCGGUAGUACUCUGUCUAGCACUCUGAAAUUUUUCCUCUUUAACUUUCUUCGGACAGUCUCUGAUAAAUGCUCGCGAGAACCGUACCUGAAACAAGCUCGCUCGUUUCCCCAACACUCUCCAUAAUGUUGCCUGCCACAUUACUGACAUUCGGACUUUCUAGAUCGCACAUUACAUACACUUGCCAUUGAAGUAGCUUGAGCUUUAGACCUUGAAUAUGCCCUACCACGAUCUCUGUGUGAAUCCCUAGUUGAAACUGUAAUUCGAGGGUUUGUCUCUUUGGACCUCUUUGAUUGAGAUUGAAAUAACUUGCUUAUCGGCCUCUUUCUGGCAUCUCGAGCCUCAAUAGCAGCUUUUCUUCUUUCUUUGUUCAAUUCUUCGGCUUUAAGAGCUCGGUCAACCAAUACUACAAAUUCUUUCAGCUCCAAAAUUCCCACAAGCACUUUAAUGUCCUUAUUUAUCCCAUCCUCAAACCUUUUACACAUAAUGGCCUCGGUGGACACACAUUCCUGAGCAUACUUGCUGAGUCUUACAAAAUCACGUUCAUACUCUGCCACAGACAUCUUGCCCUGCUUCAAUUCAAGGAACUCCUUCUAUUUUUGAUCAAUAAAUCGCUGACUUAUGUAUUUCUUUCUGAAUUCUUCUUGGAAGAAAUCCCAAGUAACCCUUUCUUUUGGCACCACUGCUACCAAAGUCUUCCACCAAUGGUAGGCUGAAUCUCUUAAAAGUGAUACAGUACACUUUAAGCACUCCUCGGGUGUACAUGAGAGCUCAUCAAAUACACGGGUAGAAUUUUCAAGUAGAACUCUGCUUUCUCGGGAUCAUCAUCGAUCUUUGCUCUAAACUCUUCGGCCCAUUGUUUUCGAAUCUUGUCAAUCGGAGGCUUGUUCAUUCUUACCAAAUCUAUGCCUUGAGCAGCUACAGGAACCGUCUGAGGUAUGGGAGGGGGUUGAGGAGGUUGAGCAUUUGGGUUUGCUCGAAUAAACUCAGUAUACCAAUUGUUCAUCAUUUGGAGAAAGGCAUCCCGAGCCUCAUCUCCCUGUCUCAAUGUCUCAGGUCUACUUUCUACAGGCGCAGUCCCUUGUGCAGGAGCCGGUGCAUUACUAGCAGCAUCAUCAACCGCAAUUCCGUCAGGAUCCAUUACUAUAUUAAAACAAAACACAGUUUAGAAUAAUCAGGAGUCACCACACUAUCACAGUAUAUUUAUGGCAUGUAUAGCUACACUUUUACACACACUUUAUUAGUUCGAGAAUCGACUAAACUAUGGCUCUGAUACCACUAAAUGUAACACCCCUUACUCGUAUCCGUCGCCGGAACAGGGUACGAGGUAUUAACAAAUCAUAGUACAUACUAUUAAAUAAAAUCGAGACAAAAAUAUGGCGUGCAAUUAGAUCAUGAAUCAUUAUAACAUAUGCCUUUAACAAUACUAGCCAAUGUCAAAGGCUUCGUACAAAAUAAUCGGUCAAAUACUAUAAUUAAUAUUUUAAACUUAGGCAAUUAUGACACAUAACAAAAUAACAAAGUCUACUAUACAUGCCAUAAUUCAAAAUGUUCAGUUCAAAUACCCAAAAGUAUUGAUAGUAUAGGCAGAUCUUCAACGAUCCUUGACUCCUGUGCAAGCUGGACGACACUAUAAGACAAAAGAGAGAAAAGAAAGUAAGCCUAUAGCUUAGUAAGCAAGUAUAUAAAUAAUGAAUAAAGAAUUUAAUAUGUUUACACAAUAACUCAAGUGUAUCUACUUUUAAUUUCACAAUUUGCUCUACUUUGGUCAAGCUGUCUCUCCUACGUCAUAUUCACUAAAUAAAUCAUAACUCGAGUUACAAAACUCAAAAUUCAAAUCCGUAAAAUUUCCAUGAAACUAGACUCAUAUUAAUUCUUACUAAAAUUUUUCUAUAAUUUUUGGUCCAGCCAAUUAGUAUAGUUUAUUAUUUAAAAUUUCCCCUAUUAUACAGCUCGACUGAUCUGACCUCUGUUCACUAUGAAUUGAAUUUAUCCUAGUACACAAUUAAAAUAGCCAUGAAAUUUGUUUCAUUUAAAACUAGACUCAAUAAGUAAUCCAGACAUAUAAACUAUAUUUCUUAAUUUGUUUUGUACAAUUUUUAAUGAUUUUUCAAAAUUAGAACAGGGGAUCACAUAGUCAUUCUAAGCGAGUCACACUCAAAUAUAAAUAUCUCAAAAUAUAGAGUUCCUUUACUUUCUUUGUUUCUUUUACAUAUAAAUAGACUCAUUAAGAUUUAAUUCCAUAUCUCAUUCAGCCUCUAAUUAAAUUCCUACUAUUUUUGGUGAUUUUUCAAAUUCACAUCACUGCGACUGUCCAAAACAGUAUUAUUGCUAAUUCACUCUUUCACACUUUCUUUGUAUUAACCUCAUUUUAACAUGCAUAUCACAAUUCAUUUUCACCACAUUUCAUACAUCACAAGUAUAGGUCCAUGAUUACAAUGUCACCAUAAAACCAUCCCGUUGAACAAUUCGGAUCAAUCCUCGAUACUUGAUGGUUUCAGCACACAGCCCCACCAUCAUAUUUCAUAUAAUUCGGCUCUCUUCUACACAUGGUGAACACUUAGUACCACCCAUGUGACCUAGCCAAUUUAUCUCAUAGCUUUCUUGUCUACAUGGUGUCCUUCACUUGGAAUCACACAUGCGACCUAGCUACCUUUAUCCUCUCCCGUAGCUCUCUUGUCUACAUGGGAUACAUCCCGUAUCACACAUGCGACCUAGCUACUACAUAGUAUCUCGUAGCUCUCUUGUACACAUGAUGUGCACUCAGCACCAUACAUGUGACCUAGCUACGUUUCAUCUAUAUUAUUCAAUCUUUUCGAAAGUUCAACCGGGAUUUCUCUCGCUAUUACUUAUUUCCAUUCUUCCAAUAGUCGAUUUAUGAUUCAAAAUCAACUAAAAUAUAUAAAAUAGGCUGAAAUAUAAAAAUGUAAAUGAAGUUAAUGUAUUAUUUACAUACAAACUUACCUUGGUGUAAAAUAUGAAAAUUUUUCAAUUUAGUCUAAAACCUUUUCCUUCCCCCGUCGAAUACGAGUAAGGGGUUUUAUACAAUUCCUUAUGGAGUUCAGUGUGGAUUAAAGGGAUCAAGGAAAGAAUCAAAAAUUAUGAUGAAUUCUCGAUUAAAAUGCCUGUAAAUGUUGCCUAUCCUCGAUAGAAAAUAUGAGUAUCAGAUAUAAGACACAUCAUGAAGGGUAUAUGGAAAGUCUAAAAUAAUGAAGAACAAGGUCAAGACCCAUAAGAAAGUAAUGCUUAUUAGAACUUACUUAUGGUUGAUGGUUAUGUACAUUGACAGUUAGCUUGGAGAAAACAAGGCAUUAACUACGCCAACGAAAUUUAUGAAUUCUCCUAUGAAAUUAAGAGAGUUUACAUUUGUGCAUAAAAUUUCAUUUUUCUUAAAAUUUAAGAAGCUUUCUAUGAAUAUCAACGUACAAGAUCUCACUAAGUUCUUUCAAACUUAUAGAAUUCACUACUUGUAUGCAAGUUAGAUGAAGACUUGAGGAUCGAGUGGAAAGACCAAGCUAGACACCAUUAAAUGUUAGUGAUGGGCGCGGUAGCUGUUUCAUGUAUAUAAAAGGGCACCUUUAGAGGCCGCGCUUCGAAAAUUAAGUUGGAUAUAUCUAUAUCAAAUUCUUAAUUUAAAAAUUUGUAAAUAACUGCUAGGUUUAAUAAGGUCUCAAAGUUGUAAGAAUUUGUCACUUGUAUGAUAUGAGUUCUAGUAGAAGUUAAAUUUAGAAAUUUUAGAUUUGUCUAAGUACGUAAUUAAAUCAACUUAGGAAAUUUGCUAAGAUAUUCAGGCUAAUUGUGACAUUUUGUACUUGAACCUUGUGAUUGGGUCAGGUAUAGUUUGUUACAGGGGAUGGCAAUGGUGGAUGAGAAAACUGAAACUUUUCUUUUUCUUUUCUUACUUUUGUUGAGAAUAAGAAGAAGAAAAAAAGAAUGUCCUUCCAUUUCUCUUUCCCACUAACACUUACACACACUAUUAAAACUAGCUUUAUUUGAUAAAUUGUUUUGAUAUAACAAACAAAAAUAUUUUUGAAUGAAGCUUGUUUUCGAACAAAGAAAUUGUAAAGUUCAAAGCAUAAAAAUUAUUUCAAGACUUCCGAACAUCUUAGAAAAUGUUUUAAACACUUAAAACUUUUAGACAAAGUUUAAAAACUAUUUUAAACUCUUUAACUUGAUUGAAACAUUUUUAAAUUUGUUGAAAAACUAUUUCCUAAAAAAAGUAUCAAUAUUGUCCAAACAAUAUUGAUACCCAUUCAACUUUUAUCGAUUCCAUUUUCUAUAUCAAUACUAAAGUUGCUUACUGUCUUGAAACAAAAAUUGAAUAAAAGCAAAAAGUAUCAAUUCUUUUCAGAAUAUAUCAAUACCUAUUGGAUUUUAUCGAUAACAGUUUUGUAUUCUGACUUGAUGAUUUUUCAAACAAUUACAAAAAGUAUCAAUAACUGAUCGACUGUAAACGUCAUAGCAAUAAUGUGCAAGCAUACACUGUCAAUGCAAGUAUAAUAGACAGACGUGAGUCUGUCGCAUAUCAAUUCCACAGGGAUGGUUGUCUUUUGUCUAUUAAUGUCAGUGCAAUACUAAAUAGAAAUGAGGUAAAUUGUGAGUAUAGCUAUUGAAGCAAUAAUUCGAAAACAAUAAGAUAAAGUAUGCUAUAGUUAAACUAGGAUCCCCAACAUGAAUCUUCAGUAGUAUACUAUGUACUCACAUGGUAUAAAAGAUAGGUGAUUAUCGAUGCAAUAAAAUUUAUGUAUAUCUUAACAAAUGCAACUCUGCGGUUUAAUCUGAGAAUUAACCAUGCACAUUAACCUCACCUUCUGAUGAUGGAAAUAGGGCACUAUUAAGAACAAGUGGACUAAAUUCCUUUAGUCUUUACUCAACUUCCGCUGAAAAGCUUAUUAGCUCAAAUUGUCACUGCACCUUCUAAUGUUAGUGACUGCAAUAACACUUCCAUAUUUAGAACAUUCAAACCCCUAAGAUUAAACAACAAAAAUAUGAUUUAAUAAGAUAACAUUUAACAAACCAUUCAUUGUACUUCCAUACAGUAGAAAACAUAGAGUAAUCACCGGCGUUUUCAAGAAAUGAGAAAGAAUCAAGUGGAGAAUACUAUUUCUAGGCUAUUCGAUUGAAUCUAUCCAUUUCCCCUAGUUUUGCACUUAGAUCUCCUCGUCAGAAGUAGAUCUGCAUCAGUCUUCAUGUUGGCUCACCCAAGGAAACUCAAGUUGUCAUAGCCACAAGCUUCAAAGUAGGGUAAGAGAAUGGUGGUACACCAAAAAUUUUCCUCCUUUCAUUCUUCUCACGUUAUCCUUUUAUGUUUUCCUCAACAAUAUAGGUGUCCUUCUCUCAAUAUUCUUCUAUCCUUGUUCGUACAAGUUAGUUACACCGGACUGGACAGCUUACUCAUGGUUGGCUCUUAUAAGACAACUGUCAACUGCAGCAACAAUUUUGAAUGCCAUCUAGAAUUAACUCCUACAAUGACACUGCGAAUAUCUAUCAACUGCAGCAACAAUUUCAGAUGCAAUCUUGAAUUAACUCAUGUAGCGACAUUAGUGCAGAAAGAUAGCAAAAUUAAAGAUGAUAUAGGCUAGGAUUCACUGAAUUAUAAAAAUGCAAUUUAUUAAACUAAACAUGCUAAAAUGUAUGCUAAGGGUAACUAAAUUGGAACAAUUUAAACAAUAAGUAGGGACAAAAAAAAUAUUUUCUUUCUACUACAAUCGAUAACCUUUCAAAAAAUAUAGAUACCUUUUACCAUGUAUCAAUAAAUAGUUUUUGGUAUCGUUGUAAACUAACUUUAAUGGUCACUAAAUGAGACAUUAAAUGCUAAUAGUAUUAAUACUCGUAGAAAAAGUAUCGAUACUUUUUGUUGCAGGUGAAUUAAAUGAUACAGUAUUUUAAUCCCCAGUGAUUCUAUUUAUUUCCUCAACAACCACAACAGUUGGAAAUGAAUUAGGGGGUAUAAAUACCAGCUUCCAAAGGUCCUACAACAGCAAGAAAAAAUAUUCAAGCUUAAAGAUCAAUAAAAAAAAACCUUUUGUCCUAACAUUUUCUAUACUUUUCUUAUAAACACUUGUGAGCUUCAUUGUUAUUCUAUCAGCUCAAGUCUUCUUCUUUGUAAUUGAACUUAAAUUGCAAACAUUUUGAUCUUGUAAGGAAUUGUUCUUGGUUUGCUUAUUUGUAUUUCUUUGAGAGGGUCUGUGUCUUAAGGUUUGGGUAGAAACCUUAAGGGAGUUUGUAAGGUUAAACAUUAUCCUCAAAGGUUGUCAAAUUAGUGAAUUUAGGAAAUUCCUUAGUAGUGGAAAGCUAAGGUAGUGAAGUAGGCAAUUGGGGUCGAACCACUCUAAAUUCUUAUGUUCAAUUUUCUAUCCUUUCUCUCUAGCAUCCACAAAAAUUUUUAAAAGCCAAUCCAUCCCCUCUUGGCAAUUUCAAUUUGAUUUUUGAGAUAAUACUUAUAUUUAACAAAAUAAUUAACUUAUUAAUUAACCAAAUCUAAUGGACAUUAAUUCAUCCUUACAUAAGUAAGUGGAAAUGGAUGGCAAAGAGGCUGUUGGGCCACUAAUCAAGCUUUAAUAAUGGCUAAAUUGCUCGAGUCUUUGGCAUAAUUAUAACUUAAGGGCUUGCUUAAACUCUAAUAAAAUCUUUCUAUUUAGCUCACAUCACAAUUAAAUCUCUAUAUUCUAAUUGAAAACUUAUAUAAUUUAAUCACUUGACAAUUUGAUCUUUUAAUUUCAUAUACGUCAUAUAACUCCUUAAAUAAAAUUCUUGCGGUUAGCUUGACUUAGAAAAUUUAGUCUUGAAAUCGAAUUUUAUACUUUGAUGACACCAUCAAAAAUCAGGUCAUUACACGUGCUUUUUAUUUUAGUCAGGUAGAUUAAAUCUUAAAUCUAAGGUUUAUAUUUAUUCAUUUUGAUCUAAGGAUUAAAAACAUUUUUAUUUUCAUGGUUUUCAUUUUAAAAGUUCUCACUAUAGUUGUCACCAAAUUUAAUUCCUACCAAAGUGAGUUUAUUUCAAAUAUAGUUAUUUGAUAAAUUAAAAAUUAAGUACUAAAAAAUAAGUGCUAAAAUUAAAUAUUGAAAAUUAAUGCAUUAAAUUUAAGUUUCAAAGUUUGUUUGAUAUAUUACUUAAAACUUAAUACAAAAUAUAAUUAGAUUGUAUGAUAAAUAUAAACUUUAAAUUAUUAAAAUUUUAUUCUACAAUUUAUACUUAAUUUUUAACUAUUUCAUAAAUUUUAAACAUUUCAUAUUAUUUUAAACAAAAUUAAAUUUUAAACCUAAAAUUUAUAAUAUUAAAAUAAAUAAAAAGUAUUUUUUACUAAAUGGUAAGUAGCUAUUAUCUAUUUAUUAUUUAUUAUAUUUUUAUUGAAUUGUUUUUAUUUUGAAUUAUUGAGCAUAUAUAAAAAAAUAAAUAUUUCAAAAUAUUAAAUUUUAUUAAAUCUAGUUUGUGAAAGAAAAAAACCCUCGCACGUGAACACAAAUAGUUCACACGAACGAACUAGGGUUUGGAAAGCGUAGUCCUUUAAAUAUCAAUAGAAGCUCUCCUCUUCGAAAUUCUCAAUCGAAACGUCACCAUUCUAAAGAGGUCAUCGUAAAUUCGAGUACAAAGCGCUAACCGAGAUGAGAGCCAAGGUACUUUCCUCUAAUCUCUCAUUUUCAUGAUUUUUUUUUAUUCUUCUUUCUUAUUUUCUUCUUCAAAUAUAUAAAUCCUUUUGCGUUUAGAAAUUAAUUUGUUUUUACUUAUUAUUCGUAGAACUUAGGGGUUUUAUGAUGGAUGAUCUGUUUUCGAAAACGAAAAAGCGGGCAUUGAAGGGCAGGAAUAUUUGUGAUAUUGGUUGUAAUGAAUGUAGAGCCUAGGAUAAAUUUGAUUACAAUCUGAUUAAUCCAAAUUCUUUAGUUUUAAUUGCUUUUGCAGUUUUAGCUAUGUUUCCUUUUAGUUAACCGAUCGUAAUCAAUGUGGUAAAGUAAAUAAAGAAAAUAAAGGGAACUGGGUGAAUUUGAGAGAUUAUUGUGUUGAGACUGAAAAAUGAGUAAAGCUGGUGAGAGAAGCCUUAAGCGUAAGUGAAUUAUGUGUUAACAUGCAACUAUAUGGGUUAUCAAUUUGGAAAGUGCUUAUAUUUCGGUUAGCUUUUUAGCCUUUUUUCCUCUUUCCUUUAGAUGUUAACUUGCAAAGUGACUGAGAUGAAAUGCUAUUGAGGAAAAUUAAUUUGUUAGCUUUGGUGCUAGUUUGGGGUGGGGAAAUGAAUGUAAUAUGAUAUGCUAUUCAAGCUAAAAAUCUUGAACAAAUUCUUCCCUUGAGCAUUAUUUUGACUCUUCUGGUGAUUCAAAUAUAACUUUGUUCAAUUCCCUUGAACAAAAAGUUUUAUCUGGUUGAUAUACAUUCUUGUUCUAGCUUUCCCUAAUUAAUUUCUUGGCUAUUUGAACAAAAUGGACAUGGUAACAGUUUGGAAUUAUUUUGUGAGGGAGUGAUUUGAAACUAAAUGCUCAACUAUCUUAUGCUUUUCAGUGGAAGAAGAAGCGUAUGAGGAGGCUGAAGAGGAAGCGCCGAAAGAUGAGACAGAGAUCCAAGUAGAUGCGCCUUGGACUGAAUUAGUUUUGCCCUGACAAUCCCUUGUCUUCAUAAUUAUCCUGCAUAUGUUGCAUUAAGUUGUGAAGAUUGAAGGGUAUUUUCAGGCAACCUUAUCUGUUUUGUCUUCUAUAUCUCGGUUAAAGUUUUAAGACUGUUUGAGAUGUUUGUCUAGUACUAUUAGAUAUUAUGUUGGGGAUUUGUGGUUUGAUCUGUGUAAGCAGUUAUCUUAACAUCCUAAAUGUUUGAAAUUGAAACUUUUGUUCUUCUUAUAUGGUCUAUAAUAUGCGAGAUAGAUUGUUUCCUUAUAUCCUCUAGCAUUUAUGAGAUUGUUGAAAUGGCCUUCGACUGGUUAGAUUAUUAGUUGAAAUGGCAUAGUCAUCAGAUCAGGUAUGUCAGCAGUUCUCGAUUCGAUCUGGGUUAUCAUUACAUCCUUCCAAAUCCAACAUAAUUAUUUGGUAUGGAGUAAAAGACCAGGAGAUACCAUCCUUGCGGGUUUUAUCGAGGAUAAAACGUACUUGAAAACAUUGAUAUUCAAAUUGAGUAAAAAAAAACCCCUUAAAAAACAUAGUAUGAUGAGUAAAAAAAAAAAGUUUUCAAAAUGAGUCUUUUGUUCGAUGCUUGUUGAAGAGGGGGAUAAUAAAUAAUGUAAUAUCAGCCAUUAAUACAUAAUUAAAAGUGUUCUACAUGUAAUAAAGGAUUUACAACAACAACAAUAACCAGCUUAUUCAAAUAAAAGUGCCACAAAUUUGAGUCCUUGUGCUUGAACUAGAUUCAUCUUCAUUCCACCUUCCAAAUAAUUGGACCACUGCCAAAUGAUCUCAAAGCCAUUUCUUCAUAACAAAAUUUAUAUUUAUCAGUCAGAUCAGAAUCAAAAUCACAGAUCGAUAAUCUUUCGAUUUCUUCCAUUUUCCUACGUGUUUUUGCACUCCGAAAAUCAAAAGUUAUCAAUGGCAGAAAGGUUGUACUGCAUUAUAAGCCUUUCUACAACAUGUUGACUAACAACUUCUCUCAUAUGCAGCUCCUUCAAUACUUGUGCUGCCAGCUCCAUUUGUCCUUCAUGAGCAAUCCCUUCCACAAGUAUGGUAUACGUUGUCUCGUUAGGCAUAUAGCCUUUCUCUAUCAACAUCUCGAAAACCUUCAAGGAGAGAUCAGUUCUGUGGGAUUUGCAGAAUCCCAAUAUAAGGGCAUUGAAAUUGUCAACAUCAGGCUUAAAGUUACUUUCUUCCAUUACUAUGAAAAUCUGCAUUGCUGCUUGCAGCAUUCCCUCCAAGCACAAUCCUCUGAUUAGUGAGGAAUAAGUGUACGAGUCCGGAGUGAAGCCGGACUUGGUCAUUUCAUAUAAAAGCUGAAAUGCUGGAUAUGUGUUCCCUUUUCUGCAUAAACUAGAAAUUACACUCUUGUAGAAAUCAUUAGGAGAGGAACUUUGUUUGCUCGCAAGGCUUUGAAAUAUGGAGAAUGCCUCUUGCACCAUUCCCUGCUCACACAGCACAGCAAUAGCAUUAUAUGUUCCUUCAUUAGGUUUACAGCGUCUAUAGAUCAUCUGGUCUAGACACUUAACCACAAGAUCCACCUUCUCCUCUUGGCAAAGUUGAGCGAUUAUUGGGUUAUAACUUGUAGCACUGACUUUAAAACGUCCUCUAAUCAUUUCAUCUAAAACAUCCAUAGCAUGGUAAGUCCUGCCAUGGAGGGCAAGAGAACCAAUCAAAAUAUUGUAAGUAACUACAGAAGGAGAACGGUCGUCACCAUCCAUCUCCGCCAAAAGCUCAUUUGCUUCUUUCCACCGUCCCUCGUAACACAAAUUCCUUAACACAAUGUUAUAGCUCACAACAUUUGGAUUAAAUCCUUUAGCAGGCAAAUCUCUGAAGAACCUAAUAGCUUCAUCAGUCCUCCCUUCCUUGCACAACCCAGUCAACAAAACAUUGUAACUAACCAAAUUAGGCUUCCCACCUUUGGCAAUGAUCUCAUCCAAAAGCUUCGUUGCUUCAUUUACACCUUUUUCCUUAUAAGCAGCUUCAAGCAAGAAAGAAUAAGUGAAUUCAUUGGGAACUAGUCCUUUUUGUAUUAACCUAUCCAAAAGCUGCAAGCUUUGCUUCAAGUUUCCAUGCAUACAAAGACCUCUAACUAAAGAGUUAUAAGUAACAGUAUUAGUUGGAUAACCAUGAGCCUCCAUUUUUUCCACUAACUGCAUUGCAUGCCCAACAUUUCCUCGCUUGCACAAAUGAUUCACCAAGAAUGUAUACGAAGCUGCAUCAGGUAUGAUACCAGAAUCAACCAUCAUCUCCAUCACUCUAAUAGACUUUUUCAUCUUAUUAACCUUGCACAAAUCAUACAACAGCUGAGUAGCUUGAACUACAUCAGGCUUCUGUCCCUUCCCCACCAUAUAUUCCAUGUGAAAAUAUGCAUCGCUAAGCCUAAGUUCCCUACUUUUACUGUCACUCUUCCCAGUCUUCCAGUUGGGUAAAGUAAAAACAGAAUCUUUAGGAGAAAUUGUGAUCUGGGUAGUGGCUAAAACCUUGGAAAAGCCCUUGCUGAGUGAAAAAUAAUGAAGGUUCGCGAUUUGGUAAAAGAAACCAGAUGGUCUCCUUGUCGUUUCAGGUGACGGGUUUGUCAAAAAAGAUAUAGAGUUGAUUAAAGUUGCCAUGGAUUACAAAAACAAAGAAAAAAAGUAUGACAGAAAGAUUAAUUCAAUUCCUGUUGAGUAGUGAAAAGGAAAACAGAAAGCGAUGAGUCUAAGUUCAGCAAAUAUUUUCUAAGAGAAACUGAAGAGAAUAAGAAGGAUGAACAUACAUAUAACUUGGUGGAGUGGGCCUUGAAAUGAAGAUUGUUGGGUGGCUUUUCUUCAGUGAGGAGAGCUUCUUUUACUCUGGCUAGAGGGCAAGGGCAGAGACUCACCUCGUCGCCUGCCCAUUGCCAUCCACUGCUCUUUCCCUCGUUAUCCAACUGCAGCUGGUGGACAAUUUUUUUUACCUACCUACGCGCUGUUUACUAGUAUGAUAGCCACGCGCUGCUUUCCCGAACUUCCUGCAAUGUUAAUGCUUUUUUAAAGCCAAGCUUCCCGGUAUUGAGUUGUGAUAUUAAUUUUUAGGUAUUUAAUGAAGUAAAAUUUAGACUAAAAUAUUCUUUAACCAAACAGAGUUCAUAUACACUAACCAUUGUUAUAAUCGACGGCUUCUACGAGACAAGCACGGUAAAACAUUUCCCUUCCUUAAACUUAACACGUGCCUUGAAAUUUGUAACACACAUCGCGAGGUGUUAAGGUAAACUGACGAGCUCAGAAACUAACGAGCUUGCAGAUUGACGAACUCUCUAAUUAGCGAGCUCACAAACUGGCAAGCUUGUAAAGCAACAUAGACGGCUCCCUACAUGCGAGGUUAUUCGCAAGGAAGGGCUAAAAUUAUAGCCAUACCAAAAACAUGCGUAAUAAACGUGUUUACCAAGUUCCAUUCCAAUCCCAUUUUGUCAAAUACUCUAAUUUACAAUUCAAAGAUUUCGCGUGUGACAAUCACACAUGUAAGUUUAAGUAUAGUAACAAGUAAUAUAAAAAGAUUGUUCCCCUAGGAAGCUAUUAUUAAUUAUAACACUAAUCACCAACUAUUACUCUAUAAUUUAUUCAAAUAAAUCAAUAACAAUUGUUUUUUGAAAUUUAAAUUAGUAAAUAAAAUUUAAAAAAUUAAUCAAUAAUAAAACACUAGUAUUACAAUUUUAUCCAAUGAAUUAACUAAUUAUUAUUAUCUUCACCCAAUUUAUCUUGAUAGAGUUUAUUACUAAUCUUGGUACUAAGAUUUCCUUAA